rnacentral:lncRNA from 1 species
UAAAAAGAACUAAAUCACGUAAAACUUAAAAUUUGUGUUCUAUAAGCUAAAGGUAUCAAAUAGCUAUAAAACUUAAAAUUGAAGGUCCUUAUGUUGUAAAUAUCCCAUUUCUGAGAUAGUGGAUAAUAGUGGAGUGGCAAUUGGUGUUAUUAUUAAUGUUUUUAAAGGGUAAAUAGGUAAUUAAGUUAAUAAUAAAUAAAACAAAGCUAAAUAUCAUCAUCUUCCAUCCAUUUUACAACCGAAAAUAGGGCUUAAAACAGCCAUUGCAGAGCUUGAAAUUCGGCCAUGGUCUUUCUGCUCAAAUAGGUACGAUUUUAACUCUGUUUUUAAUGAUUUCUACGUUUUUGAGAUCGUUGCUUCGUAUUCUAGCUAGCCCAUGCCUUAAUUUUUGGAUUGGUUGAUGAAUUUGUGAGUUUCCAUUGAUGAUAGCUUGAUGUUUUUGUUGUUUGAUGAUGAAAAAUAAAUAUUUGAUGUUAGAUUAUCAUGUGUUACUAAGUAAUUUUUGAUAAAAAUGCUUAUUAAGGAUUAAAAUGUGAAAUUUGUAAAUUGAGGGGUUUAAAUGUGAAAUAAAUGGAAUUAAUGGGCUAAUAGGGGCCUAAGCAAUAUUCGGCCAAACAUGGGUUAAAUGAAAUUUUGAGUAUUUUGUGUUGUUUUGAAAUAGGGACUAAAUUGUGAAAAUGUGAAAUGUUAGAGGCUAAAGUGCAAAAUGCCCAUUUAUGUGUUGUUGGAUGAAAUUGAAUGAAUAUGUCUUUAAAUAAGUUAAAUUUAAAUUGAUUUAGAUCAAGAAAGAAAGAAAUCGGAGUUAGAUCCGGGAAAGUCGAAAGUUGUCGAAUAGUCGUUUCGAUCCAUUCGUUUCUGAACGAGGUAAGUUCAUAAGUAAUUAAAUGUUUUUGAAUUCAAAUGUAUAUAUAUUAUAUGUAGCUGAAUUUAAAUUUUAUGUAUUGAUAUAUAUAUUGCCGAAUUGAUUUGAGCAUUGGAUGACUAGUUUCAAGCAUGAAUUGAUUUAAUCACGAAGUCGAAAGCCUCGAACGAACCCUAGGAAAUGUAUAUGAUACUGAUGUCAUGACAUAAGGACUUCCGAUAUGUGAUUUCAUGUAAGACCAUAUCUAGGACAUUGGCAUCGAAGUGAGAGAACGUGUAAGACCAUGUCUGGGACAGUGGCAUCGAAAUGUGUUAAGAUGUAAGACCAUAUCCGGAAUAUGGCAUUGUACGAGAUUUAUAUGAUUUUUGUGUAUCCUUAACAAUUCCGAAUGGUUCAUCGGGCAUUGAAAAAAUGAGACCAAAGAUGAAAUUGAGCUAAAUGGUUCAGGUAUGUGAGAAGUUUAUAUAUUCAUGAAAGAUCAAGGUAAGUGUAAUAUUUAAUGUGGUAAUAUGUAAUUAUAUAAGUAAGAUGAUUUUAUAUUUGAAUUGAACUAUUAAUGUUCUUGUGAUAAUUAAAUUGCUUAUGACUUACUAAGCUUUCAAAGCAUACUUUGUAUGUCUUUUCAUUAUUUUAUAGAUUUUGAAAGCUAGUUUCAAGCUCGGGGAUCGUCAAGGAUCAUCGUCACACUAUCGAUUGUUAUUUUGGUACUUUAAGAGUUUGUACUUUUGACGUAUGGCGUGUAUAGGCUAGUUUCGAUAUGGUUCAUUUUGAUCUGUAUAUAUGUGGCCAUGCGAAAAUGGCUUGAUAAUGAUGCUAAUGUUUGUGUAUACUCAGUCAUGGUAUAAGCUCAUUUUGGGAAGUAUGUUUCAUGGUAUAUAUGUAUGGUGUAUUGGUUAUAUGUUUUGGUUGAGUAACGAUUUAGUUGAUAGAUGUGUUUUUACUAUAAUGCAUAUGUUCCCUUAAGCUAAGUUAUGUAUAAGUGAUUGCUUGCAUAUUGAUUGUUUAGGUACGGUUUGUGAUGGCAAAAUACGAAUAUGUUUCUUAAUUUAUUGGAUGGUUAUCUAGGUAUGGACAUAAAUGGUAUAUUGCGCAUGAAUUAGUAAAGUACAAGAUCAUAUUUAAUCGUUUGGUAAUGUUUGAUAAUGUCUCAUGUAUGGAUGAUAUUUAAGUCGUAUGGUGUGUCUUGUUUUGACUUAAUAAUUUGAAUGUGCAUAGGUAUGUAAAAUGUACGUUUGACAAUUUGCUAAUGAAAUAGAUUUAUAAAAUUGAAUAUCAUAAUCUAUGUGCUAGGUACCACAUAUGAAAUGAUCCAUGCUUGGUUUUAAUUUAGGAAAUCGAAUACCAUGAAUGUAAUGUUCAUAUGGUUUGAAAAUUAUAUUUAUAAAGCAUGUGUUGUAUGACUUUGAUGCAUGUUAGUUGGUUCGGAAAUUUGAUUGAAUAGACAUUGAUAUGAUUGAAUUUGAAGCAUGGUUCGUAUUUGUAAUAUGAUUAAUAAUGCAUAUUUGAAUUAAUAGGUUAUGUGCUUUAUAUAUAUGAAUUUGACUUAUAUGAAUGAGUGAAUGGUUGCUAUUUGAAUUUGAUAACUAUUGUAAAGAAGUCAUUAUAAUUUUGUGCAUGAAUUGUAAUAAAUGAUCGUGAUGAACUAUGUUUUGUUCGGUAAUGCCUUGUAACCCUAAUCUGGCGACGGAUACGGGUUAGGGGUGUUACAGCUAAAGUAUCAGACUAGUUGUCGGCUUUAUUUUUACAACCAUUUAGUCGAGGUAAGUUCGUAUAAUAAUUUAAUAUUCCACUUGUUGAUUGUAUAAUUAUUAGUAGAUGACUAUGCUAAGUAUAACAUAUAUUUACUGUGUAUUAUAUAUUAAACUAGAUGAAAUUAUCUUAGUGAGGAAAUAGUUGAAGUUGAUGAAAAAUAAGGGUAUCAUGAAUACGGGUAUGAAAUGUAUAAUGGAAAUGAAUUUUGAGGAUAAGGUUAUGAAAUGUGUCCCGUUUGAACCUUGUGAAUACCUAGGAUACAAAUGACAUGUCAUUAGGGGUUAUACAAUUUCGGGUGCUGGUCAUGGAUGUGCUACUAAUAGCUGAGGUCUUGCAUUUGUUGUGGAUUCUCCACAGCUCGUGUGAGCAGGCCCACUUCACAGAUCGUGUGAGCAUUAAAGAUAUGAUUACUGUUACAGAUAUGGGCACAUUUUGUGUGAGAAUGGUUCCCGUGUAUCCGAUGUUGUUUCAUUUGAUUCGACAGGUAAUAAAGACUUAAAAGAGUGAGUAAUUAUAUGAAAUGAAAUGUUACGUGAUCAUGAAAUUUGAAAUGGAAGAUGUUGGUAUAAUGCUUGGAUUUGGAUGAGUUAUGCAAAUUGGUAAUGUGAUGAAUGAAAAAUGUAUUUGGCAUGUUACUAUUAUGUGUUUUAUGUCAUGAUAAGAUUAUAUGUUACUUUGUUGAACUUACUAACUUGUCGUAUUUGUGAUGUGUACAGCAUUAAAUAAAUUCAUGAGCAUGAUAAUGAAAUUAUGCAACAAAUAUAUACAAUUGAGUCUAUUAGGUAAGUUUACGUUUAUGAUUAUACGAGCUUGCUAAGCACUAGUUGCUUAUGUUAAUAGUUUUCUUUGUUUUCUAGAUCAUAAGAAAGCACGAUUGGUUGGAAUCUCGUCAGAGAACAUACACACUAUUCGCCCAUCAUUUUGGAAGUUUUUGGUUAUUUUGUUAAUGGUUAUAAACGGCAUGUAAUAGAAGCUUUUAAACUAUAUUACCAAUGUGAUGUGGUUUGAACUUACUUGUAUUUAUGACUUGAGAUUGAGUUGUAAAUGUCCAAGAUAUGUGUAUUUUGGUCACUUUAUCUAUGCCUCUUAAAAGUAGAUGGCUUAUGGCUUAGUGGAAUGUGAAUGAAAGGAUUAUUUAGCACGUUUGCUACAUGUUCGAAGUGUGAACUUGUAGCAUUGUAAUUGAAUUGAUUUGGUGUUUGAAUUGUGGUGCCAAGUGAUGGCAUAUUGGUUAGGCGCAUAGGUUGAAUGAUUUUGACAUGUUUUAGGCUUGUUUAAAUAUGUUUUUAAAGUGUGGAAAUGGAUGUUUUUUAUUUGACUCGGUACCUAUGUUUUGGAUGAAAAUUUACAUUGUUUUGGAAGAUUUUUAAUGUACAAAUGGCUUAGGACACAAGCUGUCGCAUAGCCGUGUAGAAUUUUUCACAUGGUCAAAGUUAGUUACACUAUCUAAGUACACUGGCGUGUGGGGUAGCCACAUGCCUGUGUCCUUGAGCCACACAGUUAGGGCUCUAUCACACAGUUGUGUGACCCCUGUUUCCAAAAUUUUACAUAUUUUUCACAUUUUUUCGUUUUAAUGCAGAUUAGUCCCUGGUUGUUUUCAAACUAUUUUUAAGGUCCUUUAAACUCAAUUUAAGGUCUAUAAGUGUAUGUUUGCCAUGUUUAUCAAAUGAUUUGAUUAAUUAUAUUUAAAUUAAUAUUUGGAAGUUUUAAGUUGUUAAUUGUUUCGUUAUUUGCUGUGAUACUCUGUAACCCUAAUCCGACGAUAAAGAAGGAUUAGGGGUGUAACAAUUCUGCCAUUUCUUUUCUCUUUUAAAAGUUUGGUGCAAUUUCCCUUUUAGUCCCCUCUUUUCUUCACCUAUUAUCUUUCAUUUAAAUUCACUUUUAUAAUCCAAUCAAGUAUGAUUAAUUUCAUGCUCAAUUAAUCUCCGGUUUAGCUCAGUUAUCAUUCCCAUCGAGAAUCUUGAGAAAUGUUAAUCUCCAUUUUAGCUCGAUUAUCAUUCCGAUCGAGAAUCUUGAGAAAUGAACCCGUAUUAAAACCUUACAACAUGGUAUUCAUUAUCUCUCUAGAAUAUGGGAUAUUUACAACCAUCCCUUAAAGUUAAUUCAUUUUCAAAUAAAAAAAAGUGCGCAUUGGGCUAGAAUUGUUUGGCGUAUAGUUGGGAAAACAAGUCUGUCACCUGAUGCAUUCGAGUUGUCGCGAGCAAAUUGCAAUGUCCAGGUAGGAAAAAGCCAAUUGGAUACGAUCAAGGGAGAUAGUGAUCGAAUUUAAACGACCCACACGGUUGAGGUCGAUAAUUUGAGUUGGGCUCUUCUAGAUCGCAAGGCUGCCAAGAUCUUAAAUUGUGGACUCGUGUUAUGUGAUUAGAUAGUCGGUAAAGGUUGGUUUGCAGGGCGUCCCAGAAUCAACUACACAAUGAAUAGUUGGAGAUUAAGGCGUCAUUGAUCGCUAUAUCCAACUUACUGUUUGGAAGUUAAAAUUUAUUUUCAAGGACCGAUUCGAUUCUAGAAUAUACUAAGUUUAAGGCUAAAAAAAUUCACAUAUUUGAUUAUCUAAUUUAAUUUCUGUUAUUUAAUUUUAUUUUCUUAUAAUUCAACUAUUAUCUUGUUCUAUUUUUUUCUAAAUUUUUAACCCUAUUAAAAUAAAGCCCUCUUCGUUUUAUUUUCAGCAAAGCAUGUUAUGAGUCAUGGGCACAAUAGUUGCCAUGACUUUAGAAUCUGGUCACAUAAAAAACAAUAUUAAGCUUCCCAUCCCUGCGGUAUCGACCCUGCUUCUUUAUACUACUUUUUAUUUUAGUUUAGUAAGAGCGUAGGAAAUUUAUAUUUGGUGUAACACCCCUAACUUGUAUCUGUCGCCGAAUUAGGGUUACGAGGCAUUACAAAAUAUCAAAAUCUCAUACUUAACAAAAUGAACCAAAUACCAUAGCCGAAUAUAAAUAUGCAUCAUGUGUAUAUAUACAUAUAUAUCCUAAUUCAUCUCACCUAAUGAUCAAAACAAUUUUCAUCAUUUACAAAACAACUUACAAAGCAAUUUAUACAUCAAAACAAAGGUCAUUAGCAAGCCACACCAAAUGUCAAUCAUGCUUUACUAAUUAAAUUACAUUUUCAAAUCAUGUUGCGAUAUUCAACCCUUUCAUUACCAUUUACCUAAUCAAAUUUCAUGUCAUUCAAAUACUUAAAAUAUUUUCAAACAUAUAUCAACACAUUUCAUAUACUGAGCCUAUGACAAAACAUCCAUUUGUAUUCAUUUAUUUCAUUAACAAAUUACUAAUUAUGUAAAAUAAGACAAACAUAGGUAACCUACCCUGUUUUGGGCAGCAAAUAUACUCCAAUUAAAUAAGCAUUUACACUAAAUAAUCAUAGCAAGGAUGUCCUGUUUCGGACAGCUUUGAAUUGCAACAUUCAAACAUCUUUAAAUCACAAUUAUUCAGAUAGCAGUAACAACAUUCGGACAACAUUGAUUUGUACAAAAAUGAUCAGCAUUUAAGCACCAAUUUGGACAACAUUAAAAUGCUAAAAAAUGAAUAGCAUUUAACCAACAUUCGGACAGCAUUUAAAUAACAUUCAGACAACAUUAGUAUGCUAAAAAACAAAAAACAUUUAACCAACAUUCGGACAGCAUUUAACCAACAUUCGGACAGCAUUUAACAACAUUCGGACAACAUUAGUAUGCUAAAAAAGGAAAUACUCGGACAGCAUUUAACCAACAUUCAGACAACAUUUAAACAACAUUCAGACAACACCUUGUCAUCCUAUAAACCAAAUUGCCACCAUCCAACACACAAGAUAUAUAUCGUAUAACAUACUUCCAAAAUGAGCUAGAUACAUGGCCUAAUAUUCACAAACAUUAGCAUUAUUAUCAACCCAUUUUCGCAUAUAUAUAUACAGAUCAAAAUGAACCAUAUCGAAACUAGCUUAUACAUGCCAUAUGUUGAAAGUACAAACUUUUAAAGUGCCGAAAUAGCGAUCGAUAGUGUGACGAUGUUCCUAGAUGAUCCCUGAACUCGAGCUAGCUUUCAAAAUCUAUCAACCAGUGAAAAAUAAACACAGUAAGCUUUAAAAGCUUAGUAAGCCAUAUACAAAUAAACAUAUAAUACAUGAAGUAAAUAUAACCAACUCAUCAACGAAAAAUCAUGGCUAAUCGCAUGUAUAAAUAUCACAUUCCUCAUCUAAUUCACUUAUUAAUGAUUCAUAAGCAUCACUUACCUUAACCUUUCAAUUUUCAUAUAACAUCAUACAUACCUGAAUUGAUUUCUCAUUCUCAUAUUCAUCCACUUCUCAACAUUGCCCGUUGAACCAUUCGGAGUUGAUAAGGAUACUCGGAUAGUACAUAAACCUUGUACAAUGCCAUAUCCCAGAUAUGGUCUUACAUGUUAUAAUAUAUUGAUGCCACUGUCCCAGACAGAGUCUUACAUGAAAUCUUAUACAAUGCCAAUUUCCCAAACGUGGUCUUACACGAAAUCACACCUCGGAAUCCUAAUGUCAUGACAUACGUAUCCUAUAUUAUUCCUAUGGUUUGUACGGGGAUUACGGACGUCGUAAUUCUGUUGAUACUUUCUCAUAUUCAAAUAUUCAACAUCCAAAGCAAUUCAAUCACAGAUAAACAUAUAUAAAUCAAUUUAAAGGUAUUUAUUUGCAUAUGAAUUUACCUCGUAUAUACGAUGAACAAAUCGGAUCGAUUACUCGUCAACUUUCGAUUUCCCUCGAUCUAAAUCUGAUUUCUUUCUUUCUUGAUCUAUAUGAUUUCAAAUUUAGCUCAUUUAAUCACCAAUUCAUUCAAUUUCAUUCAAAAAUACCUAUUUGGGCAUUUUUUCACUUUAGCCCCUAAAUUUUCACAUUUAUUCAAUUUAGUCUAUAUUUCACAAAAUCACAAAUUACACAAAAUUUCAAUAAACCCAUGCCUAGCCGAAUUUAUUAGAGGUCCCUAGCAACCCAAAACUUGCAUUUAUUUCACAUUUCAACCACUCAAAUUACACAUUUUCAAUUUAAUCCCUAAUAAGCAUUUUUAUCAAAAAUCACUUAAUAAAAUAUAAUAAUCUAUCAACAAAUAUUUAUUUUUCAUUAUCAAACAAAAAAAAAUCUUGAAUAUUCAUCAAUGGCAUUUCACAAAAUCAUUAACAAUUUCAAAAAUUAAGACACAGGCUAGAUAAUAUACGAAGCAACGAUCUCAAAAACGUAAAAAUCAUUAAAAACGGAACAAAAAUCGCACCUAAUUGGACAAUGAAAGCUUGGCCGAAUAAUAAACAAAAGAAUGGCUUUCUUCUUCUUCACAUUCGGUUGAAAAAACCAAAGAAAGAUGAAAGCUUUUGUUUAAUAGUUUUAACUUAUUAUAACAUUAUUAACCAAAUUACAAAAUUAACCUUAAUAAAUAUUAUUAAUUGCAUAAUUGCCAAGCCAACAUCUUCCACUAUCUCAUUUAUGGUCUAAUCACAUCAUAAGGACCUCACAUUUAAUUAAUCAUAAUAAAUAAACACUUAAACAAUUAGUAUGCCACUUUUGCAUUUUACGCGAUUUAGUCCUUUUAUCAAAUUAACUAACCAAUCGGUAAAAUUAAAUCAUGAAAUUUUCACACAUAUCAAAUAACAUGCUUUAAAUACCGAAAAUAAUAUUAAAAUAAUUUUAUGACCUCGGAUUUGUGGUUCUGAAACUAAUGUUCUAAUUUACCUAAAACUAGGCUGUUACAACUCUCCCCCCUUAGGGAUUUUCGUCCCCGAAAAUCUUACCAGUGAAUAGGUUUGGAUAUUGCUCUCUCAUAGCAUCCUCGGGCUUCCAUGGAGCUUUUUCAACCCCGUGUCGAUACCAUAAGACUUUCACUAAUGAAAUUUUCUUAUUUCUCAAUUCUUUAACCUCGCGAUCUAAAACUCGGAUCGGUUCUUCUUCGUAUGUCAUAUUAGACUGAAUCUCAAUCUCGGAUGGUGAAAUCACAUGUGAGGAAUAGGAUCGAUAUCGUCGAAGCAUUGAUACAUGAAAUAAAUUAUGAAUAUUUUCUAAUUCAAGUGGCAACAUGAAUCUAUAAGCAACCGGCCCGAUACGCUCGAUAAUGUCAUACGGCCCGAUGAAUCUCGGACUUAACUUGUCUUUUCAGCGAAAUCUAAGUAUUUUCCUUCACGGAGAUACUUUUAAAAACACUCGAUCCCCAAUCUAAAACUCAAUAUCUUUUCAUUUCAAGUCUGCGUAUGAUUUCUGACGAUCUGACGCUACUUUCAGACUAUCAUGAAUCACUUUCACUUUCUGUUCAGUCUCUUUAAUCAAAUCGACCUCGUGAAUCUUAUUCUCACUAAGUUUAGUCCAGUACAAAGGUGUUCGACAUUUGCGACCGUAUAAAGCUUCGUAAGGUGUCAUUUUAAUACUCGAUUGAAAGCUGUUAUUAUACGCAAAUUCAAUCAACAGCAAAUAUUUUUCCCACGCACCCUCAAACUGAAGAACACAAUAUCGUAACAUAUCCUCAAGUAUCUGAAUAACUCGCUCGGAUUGUCCAUCCGUCUAUGGGUGAAAAUCGGUACUGAAGUGUAGCUUUGUACCUAAUGCAUCUUGCAGUUUCUUCCAAAACUACGAUGUGAACCUCGGAUCUCUAUCUGAAACAAUAGAAAUAAGUACUCCGUGCAAUCUCACAACCUCAGAAAUAUACAACUCAACUAACUUAUCAAGCGAAUAGUCCAUUCGUACUAGAAUGAAAUGAGUUGAUUUCAUCAAUCUGUCAACUAUAACCCAGAUCCCAUCUUUUUUUCUCGGGGAUAGGGGUAAUCUCGACACAAAAUCCAUAGUCACUUUAUCCCAUUUCCACUCGGAAAUCAUAAUCUGCUGCAAUAACCCAGACGGUACCUGAUGCUUAGCUUUAACUUGCUAACAGAUCAAACAUUUAGAAAUGAAUUCUGAGAUGUCACGUUUCAUACCAGACCACAAAUAUAGUUGUUUCAGAUCGUUAUACAUUUUCGUGCUUCUCGGAUGAACAAACAAAUGACUACUAUGAGCUUCAUUUAAAAUCAUCUGAAUCAACUCUGAAUUUCUCGGUACAUAUAUUUGGCCUCUUAAUCUGCUGCACAAAUAACGGUCUUACUUUUAGCUUAGCUAUAAUCGAGCCAUCAUCAGAUAGAGCCAACUGAGUAUUCAUUGCAUGUAGAGCAAAUAAAGAUUUCUGACUUAAACCAUCAGCAACAACAUUGGCCUUUCCAGAAUGGUAGUCAAUCACUAGCUCGUAAUCUUUUAAAAAUUCCAACCAUCUUCGCUGCCGCAAAUUCAAUUCAUUCUGAGUCAUCAGAUAUUUCAAAAUCUUGUGAUCUAAAUAGAUAUGACAUUUCUCACCGAAUAGAUAAUGACGCCAAAUCUUCAACGUGAAUAAAAUAGUUGUUAGUUCCAAAUCCUGCAUUGGGUAAUUCUUUUCAUGCGGCUUUAAUUGUCUCGAGGCAUAAGCGAUGACUUUGCCUUCCUACAUCAAAACGCAGCCCAAACCAUUCAACAAUGCAUCACUAUAGAUUACGAAUUCUUUACCCGAUUCUGGCUGUACUAACACUGGAGCUUCAGUCAAAAGAGUUUUCAACUGAUCAAAACUUUUUUCGCACUUGUCCGGCCACUCGAACUUAACAUCUUUCUGAAGUAGUCUCGUCAACGUAGUUGCAAUCAUUGAGAAACCUUUUACGAAUCGUCUGUAAUAACCGGCAAGUCCUAGAAAGCUUCGAACUUUAGAUAUAUUUUUUAGAGGAUUUUAAUCCAAUAUUGCCGAAAUCUUACUCAGAUCGACUCGAAUACCCGAUGUUGACACAAUAUGCCCCAGAAAACCAACUUCUCGUAACCAGAACUCACAUUUAUUAGAAUUUUCAAAUAGUUGUUUAUCUCGCAAAGCCUGUAGCAUUAUUCUCAAAUGUUCAGCAUUCUCAAAUUCAUCACGGGAAUAGAUCAAGAUGUCAUCUAUAAACACAACAACAAAUCUAUCCAAAUACGGUCUGAAAAUCUGAUUCAUUAGAUCCAUAAAAAUAGCAGGUCCAUUCGUUAGUCCGAAAGCCAUAACUAGAAACUCAUAAUGUCCGUACCUCAUUCGGAAAGCAGUUGUCAGCACAUCGGAGUCUUUAACUCGUAGCUGAUAAUAACCCCACCUCAAAUCUAUCUUUGAAAACACUGUAGCCCCUUUCAGCUGAUCAAACAAAUCAUCUAUGCGUGGCAGAGGAGAUUUAUUCUUGAUAGUUGCUUUAUUGAGCUGUCGAUAAUCAAAGCACAUUCUCAUAGUUCCAUCUUUCUUUUUCACAAACAAAAUCAGUGCACCCUAGGGAGAAAAAAUUGGUCGUGCAAAACCUCUAUCUAUCAACUCUUGCAACUGAGCUUUCAACUCUAUUAAUUCGAUCGGUGCCAUUCUGUACAGAGCUAUUGAUAUCGGAGUUGUUCUCGGCACUAACUCAAUUCCAAAUUCAACUUCUCUGAUCGGUGGCAAACCCGGUAACUCUUCAAGAAACACAUCUGAGUAUUCACACACAACUGGUACUGAUUCAAUCUUCUUUUCAAUCACUUUAGAGUCGAGUACACAGGCAAAGUAAGCUUCACAACCCUUUCUCAUAUAUUUUCGAGCUAACACCAAAGAAAUCACUACCAGCAACCCAUUCAGAUCAUCUGACUCAAUCCGGAUAAUCUCUUUAUUCUGACAUCUCAAAUCGACCAUCUUUCGUUUGCAGUUUACAAUAGCAUCGUGCAGUGUUAACCAAUCCAUACCCAGGAUUAUAUCAAAUUCGUCAAAUGGAAAUAACAUCAGAUCGACCGAAAAAUAGAAAUCUCGAGUCAUCAAUGGAUAGUUUUUGCACACUUUAUCAACCAAAACAGACCUACCUAAGGGGUUGGAUACUCUAAUCACAAAUUCAAUAGACUCUAAAGGCAAAGUCUUACUGGAUACUAAAGUCUCACAUACAUAAGAAUGAGAUGACCCUGGAUCAAUCAAUGUAACAACACUAGUAUCAUAAAGAGUGAAAGUAUCGGUAAUAACAUCUGGAGAUGAAGCUUCUUCGCGAGCGCGAAUAGCAUAAGCUCUGGCAGUUGUGUGGGCUUCAGAUCUAACAGCAGUGUCUUUAGUUCCCCUCUGACUCCCACUCAUAUUACCCGUGUUUCUGGGUGGUCUACCUCUAGCUCCAGCAUUCACGAAUGAAAUGAUCUAAUGAUCCACAUUUGACAUAAGCGCGAUCAUUCAAUCUAUAAUUUUCGGGAUGUCGUUUACCGCAAUGUUUGAACUCAAGUUGAUUUGGUCUGACAUUUCCAACAUUAGCUAUUGAAGUAGCUUUCGAACUCACAGGUGGUCUGUCUCGAUCUUGUCUAGAAUAACCCAAGGAGCCUUUUAACGGCUAAAAUCAUCUCGAAACUUCUUUGAUGCUGAUUGAUAUGACUUACUCGAUGAUCUUUUUCGCAAAUCUCUAGCUUCAAAUUCAGCUUUUCUUUUCUCCUUCCCAAGUUCUUCAGCUUUGCAUGCUGGCUCGACGAGUACCACAAACACUUUUAUUUCUAGAAUCCCGACUAACAGCUUAAUAUCUUCAUUCAAACUAUCUUCAAAUCUUUUACACAUAAUAGCUUCAGUCGAAACACAUUCCUGGGCAUAUUUGCUGAGUCUCACAAAUUCCCGCUCAUAUUCUAUCACUGUCAUGCGACCUUGUUUUAACUCGAGGAAUUCUUUACGUUUUUUAUCUAUGAAUCUCUUCAACUUUUGACAAAAAGACAAAAACUAAUCAAUUUGUGGCUCGACUCUCAAAACCAUUCCCCAGUGGAGUCGCCAAGCUGUCGAAACCACUUUUUGAAAAUAAAAAUUGUGUCGAGUUAAAAAAUAAAAAUUGGAGUCGCCACCGAUCUUUUAUUGAGGUGUGAUCAGAUCACCUCAAAAAUGAUUUUGGUCUACGAGUUUCAAAAAAAAACGGGUUCGGAAGUCAAUUACGUACGAGGAAGGAUUAGCACCCUCGUAACGCCUGAUUGAUAUAUUUCUUCCAGAUUUCAGUCUGAAAGAACUCCCAAGUAACCCGUUCUUUUGGAACCACUAAUACUAGUGUAUUCCACCAGUGAUAUGCAGUGUCCCUUAACAAAGAUACAGCACAUUUGAUACACUCAUCAGGAGUACAAGAUAAUUAAUUGAACACCCAGAUUGUAUUUUCAGGCCAGAAUUCAGCUCGUUCAGCAUUAUCAUCGACAGUAGCUCUGAACUCUUCGGCCCCAUAUUUUCUAAUUUUAUCAACCAAAGGCUUAUUUAAUCGUAUCAGACCAGUAACUUGAGGCAUCACAGGUAUUUGGGGAAGAUUAGGCGGGAGUGGAGGUUGUUGAGCAGCCGGAUUUACCUGGAUAUACUAUGUGAACCAUUCGUUCAUCAUCUGGAGGAAGGCUUGUUUAGCCUCUCCCUCGUGGCUACUCAUAAUCGGCCUAGAAUUAGUCAGCUCUGCCCCUUGAACUGAAUCGAGUGCAUUACUUUCCACAUCAUCAGCUACAGCUCGAUCGAGAUCUAUUUACUAUACAAAAACACAUUUUAAUUGUCAGGAAUCAUCACACUAUCGUAGUUUAUAUAUGGCAUGUAUAGCUAGACUCACAUGCACUACGUUAGUCCUAGAAUCGACUAAACUGUAGCUCUGAUACCAAUAAAAUUUAAUAACUCUAACUCGUAUCCAUCGCUGAAUUAAGGUUACGAGGCAUUACCAAAUAUCAAAAUCUCAUACUUAACAAAAUGAACCAAAUACCAUAGCCGAAUAUAAAUACGCUUCAUGUGUAUAUAUAUAUCCUAAUUCAUCUCACCUAAUAAUCAAAACAAUUUUCAUCAUUUACAAAACAACUUACAAAGCAAUUUAUACAUCAAAACAUAGGUCAUUAACAAGCCACACCAAAUGUCAAUCAUUCUUUACUAAUUAAAUUACAUUUUCAAAUCAUGUUGCGAAAUUUAACCCUUUCAUUACCAUUUACCUAAUCAAAUUUCAUGUCAUUCAAAUACUUAAAAUAUUUUCAAACAUAUAUCAACACAUUUCAUAUACUGAGCCUAUGUCAAAACAUCCAUUUGUAUUAAUUUAUUUCAUUAACAAAUUACUAACUAUGUAAAAUAAGACAAACAUAGAUAACCUACACUGUUUUGGACAGCAAAUAUGCUCCAAUUCAAUAAGCAUUUACACUAAAUAAUCAUAGCAAGCAUGUCCUGUUUUGGACAGCUUUGAAAUUGCAACAUUCAAACAUCAUUAAAUCACAAUUAUUUGGACAACAGUAACAACAUUCGGAUAGCUUUGAUUUGUACAAAAAUGAAAAGCAUUUAACCACUGAUUUGGACAACAUUAAUAUGUUAAAACAUGAACAGCAUUUAACCAACAUUCGAACAGCAUUUAACCAACAUUCGGACAGCAUUUAAAAAACAUUCGAACAACAUUAGUAUGCUAAAAAACGAAUAGCAUUUAACCAACAUUCGGACAACAUUUAAACAAAAUUCAGACAGCAUUAGUAUGCUAAAAAACGAACAGCAUUUAACCAACAUUCGAACAACAUUUAACCAACAUUCGGACAACAUUAGUAUGAUACAAAAUGAACAGCAUUUAACCAACAUUCGAACAGCAUUUAACCAACAUUUGGAUAGCAUUUAAACAACAUUCGAAUAGCACCCUGUCAUCACAUAAACUUAAUUGCCACCAUCCAACACACAAGAUAUAUAUAUCAUAUAAUAUACUUCCAAAAUGAGCUAGAUACAUGGCCUAAUAUUCACAAACAUUAGCAUUAUUAUCAAGUCAUUUUCGCAUGACUAUAUAUAUAUACAGAUCAAAAUGAACCAUAUCGAAACUAGCCUAUACAUGCCAUAUGUCAAAAGUACAAACUUUUAAAGUACCGAAAUAGCGAUCAAUAGUGUGAAGAUGUUCCUAGAUGAUCCCCGAACUCGAGCUAGCUUUCAAAAUCUAUAAAACAGUGAAAAAAUAAACACAAUAAGCUUUAAAAGCUUAGUAAGCCAUAUACAAAUAAACUUAUAAUACAUGAAGUAAAUAUAACCAACUCAUUAAUGAAAAAUCAAGGCUAAUCACAUUCCUCAUCUAACUCACUUAUUAAUGAUUCCUAAGCAUCACUUACCUUAACCUUUUAAUUUUCAUAUAACAUCAUACAUACCUGAAUUGAUUUCUCAUUCUCAUAUUCAUCCACUUCUCAACAUUGCCUGUUGAGCCGUUCGGAAUUGAUAAGGAUACUCGAAUAGUAUAUAAACCUCGUACAAUGUCAUAUCCCAAAUAUGGUCUUACAUGUAUAAUAUAUCGAUGCCACUAUCUCAGACAGGGUCUUACACGAAAUCAUAUACGAUGCUAAUGUCCCAGACGUGGUCUUACAUGAAAUCACACUUUGGAAUCCUAAUGUCAUGACAUACGUAUCCUAUACUAUUCCUAUGGUUCGUACGGGGCUUACAGACGUCGUAAUUCUAUUGAUACUUUCUCGUAUUCAAAUAUUCAACAUCCAAAGCAAUUCAAUAACAGAUAAACUUAUAUAAAUCAAUUUAAAGGUAUUUAUUUGCAUAUGAACUUACCUCGUAUAUACGAUGAACAAAUCGGAUCAACUACUCAUCAACUUCCGAUUUCCCUCGAUCUAAAUUUGAUUUCUUUCUUUCUUGAUCUAUAUGAAUUCAAAUUUAGCUCCUUUAAUCACCUAUUCAUUCAAUUUCAUUCAAAAAUACCUAUUUGGAAAUUUUUGCACUUUAGCCCCUAAAUUUUCAUAUUUAUUCAAUUUAGUCUAUAUUUCACAAAUUUACAAAUUACACAAAAUUUCAAUACACCCAUGCUUAGCCGAAUUUAUUAGAGGCUUUUCGCAACCCAAAACUUACAUUUAUUUCACAUUUCAACCACUCAAUUUAUACAUUUCUCAAUUUAAUCCCUAAUAAGCUUUUUUUAUCAAAAAUCACUUAAUAAAAAAUAAUAAUCUAUCAACAAAUAUUUAUUUUUCAUCAUCAAACAACAAAAAGGUUGAAUAUUCAUCAAUGGCAUUUCACAAAAUCAUCAACAAUUUCAAAAAUUAAGACACGGGCUAGCUAGUAUGCGAAGCAACGAUCUCAAAAACGUAAAAAUUAUUAAAAAUGGAACAAAAAUCGCACCUAAUUGGACAAUGAAAGCUUGGCCGAAUAAUAAGCACAAGAAUGGCUUUCUUCUUCUUCUUCACAUUCGGUUGAAAAAAACAAAGAAAGAUGAAAGCUUUUGUUUAAUUGUUUUAACUUAUUAUAACAUUAUUAACCAAAUUACAAAAUUAACCUUAAUAAACAUUAUUAAUUACACAAUUGCCAAGCCAACAUCUUCCAUUAUCUCAUUUAUGGUCUAAUCACAUCAUAAGGACCUCACAUUUAAUUAAUAAUAACAAAUAAACACUUAAACAAUUAGUGUGCCACUUUUGCAUUUUACGCAAUUUAGUCCUUUUAUCAAAUUAUCUAACCAAUCAGUAAAAUUAAAUCACGAAAUUUUUACACAUAUCAAAUAGCAUGCUGUAAAUACCAAAAAUAAUAUUAAAAUAACUUUACGACCUCAGAUUUAUGGUUUCAAAAUCACUGUUCUGGUUUAGCUAAAACCGGGAUGUUAUAUUUGGUGGCCUCGAUAACCAUCAUUGUGUGUACUCCCGAGAUGAUAACUUUAAUGAUUCAAAUGGAACUUCCUAAGUGAAUCACUUUGAAUUAGCUUCUGACAAAGCCAAACAUUCCUUGUCUUCAUCACCUCUUUGUGAAUCUGUUAGUAGAAUAUUUUCUAAUGAAUCAUCUAAAGAAUUGAGUUCCAAUUCUAUAGAAGCCGGCGAUUUUCUAUUGAAAAUAGUAGAGCAGUCACCUUGUCAUCCAAAAUUUUCUUAACCUGAGUAUCCUGCUGUUGCUUUUGGAAUUGUUAAGGAUAUAGAAGUGGUAGGGUUUUGAUAUUGUCUUCUUUGCUUUAUUGUAGUAAGACUACAUCCUAGGUCUCAGGUGCGGAGUUAUUAGUUGCAGGAACAAGCAUAUGUACUGUAGGAAUUACAACGUCUGGUUGAAUUUCCUCCUUAUUCUGAGUAACAACGAGUUUACCUCUAGCUUCAACAACUUUGGGUUCCAACAUUUUUUCCCUCCUCAAGGUGACAACUUUGCAAUGCUCUUUGCACGUGCUUCUUAGAUUUUCAAUGUCGUUCGAAAAAGCUCCUUAGGUCGACUUCUAAGCUCAUUGGCUAACUGUCCUACUUGGUUUCCUAAAUUCUUCAACGUCGCUACUUGGCUUUGGAUAAGUGCAUCAAUCUUCACUAUGUACGUCUUCAGCAAAUUUUCAAGAUCACUUGAAAAUUCAAUUAGUAGGGGUUGUUGCACUUAUUGAGAAUAUGUUGGUGGACAAUUUGGUCGAGAUGGCAUAGAAGAGUUGCUAGUGCCCACCUAUUGAUUACUCCAUGGAAAAUAUAGAUGAUACUGCGAUAAAGAGUUAUAAUAAUUUGAAUGCGGACUUAGGCCACUCCUAUUCUAAUUUUGGUUACCCAUGUAAUAGAUGGAUUUUGGGUUUGAUGGGAAAUUUUAGAACAUAUGGCCAUCUCCAUAAUAGACACAUGGAAUGUUUCUAAAUUGGCUCAACUGUUGACCUGUCAUGUUAGCAUUUAUACCAUUAGUAGUAAUGUUCGUAAGCAUGAAAGACUUAGAAGAUACCUGAGUUGCCCUGGAAGUAAGUGCAUCCAUUUCAUGUACUCCUGUCAUUCUUCUUCCUGUGUCUAUUCGAUUGAUUGGUCACUGAUAAUUGUUGUUCAAAAUUCUUUCAAUAAUUUCUUAAGCUUCAUUGUAUGAUUUAAAAAGAAGGGCUUCAUUUGCUGAAGCAUCCACCACCAUUCUAGUAUGAGCAUUAAGACCAAUGUAGAAACUCUUCAUUUGAACGCAAUAAGGAAUACCGUGGUGAGGGCACUUUUGUAAUAACUCAUUGAACUGCUCUCAUGCCUCAUAUAAAGAUUCUUCAUCAAUUUGCUGAAAUUAGGUGAUUACAUUUAAGAGCUUGGCAUUCAAAGAGGGAGGAAAGUAUAGUUACAGAAUCAGACGAUAGGGAGUUCAACCACGCUCGUGCUCUAUCUCUUAAGGAGUGUGGAAAUAAUUUCAGUCUCAAUAAGUCCUCAGUCACCCCGAUUAAUUUAAAUGAGUCACUUACUUUUAUGAAUAGCCGAAGAUGAAUAUGUGGAUCCUUAGUAGGUAUCCCACUAAUUUGGCCCAUAAUUUGCAACAUUUGGAACAUGACUGGCUUUAGUUCAAUUUUCGGUGCCUCAAUUUUGGGUCUCACAAUACCCAGGUUGAGCUCGUUGAAAUGAGAAAUAGCAUAUUGUCGAAUGACACAAUUUCUGUAUUUGGCAACAAUGAUCAAAUUGUAAGCAUUAUAGGCAAAUGCUCCUCCUUAAACAUGUUGUAGAGGAUUCAUUAUCACCUAAAUAAUAACGAAAAUGAUUCAAGUAAAAUAAUAAAAAAAUUUAACAAAUUUGCAAGAUAAUUAAUUUUACAUACAAUUGACUAAAAUAACAAUCCCAGGCAACGACGCCAAAAAGUUCUCUCGAAAUUAUUUGAUUGAUGUGCAAGUUUACACAAUCGCUGACAAAUAAUAAAGUAGUAAGUAAGAGUUAUCCUCUCCACAGGGAUUGUUUAUGCAAAUCAAGUAUUGCAAAAUUAAUACUUCAAAAAUUUAUCGGUGACGAAAAUAAAUCAAAUAUGAUGAAUUUUCUAACUUAUACUAAAACUAUCCUAAGUAUGCAUAAAAUUAAAACAAACACAGAAUAAAUAAUUAUGCAAGUUUUUAAAAGAAAUCCCAAUAGCAUGUGUGUGUUAGAAUAAUUUUCCUUCGUAACUUCGAAUUAUUUAAACAAUGUUAAGAGAUGUUACGGAGAUUCUGUGGCAUAUUGAUAAUUUCCUAACCUUGGUUUGAUGUGUAAUCGGCUUUUCUCGAAGACCUAAACUUAACCUUUUAGUCUGCAUAUUUCUAUGUCCAGUCCAAAUUCAAGGAUACCUUUCCAGACAUCGUUUAAGGAAUCACACUUAUUAAAGUAUUAAGUUUUUUUAGCAUAAGUAUGUCAAUUAAGUUAGUGUUUUCAUAAGCAGGAAUCAAAUUAUGUGAGGUAACAGUAAUAUUUUGACACUGAAACAGUUUGAUCACAUUAAUAUUAGGGUUAUACAAGGUAAUAAAGUCCUUUUGAUAUUAUUACUAUUUCGACCUAAUUUCAUCAUAAAAAGAUCAAACAUGCAUUAUUCAGAUAUUGUGUCAAACAUGCACCAAAAGAUCCAGCCACUACGACUCUGCCAAAUGAAAAAGAUAAUUAAAAUUUUCUUUCUGUAUUUUUACAUUUUCCUUUAUUUAAUGAAAGUUUUAAAUCUUUCUCUGGUAUUCAUGAUUGCUUACUGUAACACCCCCAAACCGUAUCUAUCACUGGAACAGGGUUACGGAGCAUUACCAGAGUUUCCAAAUCAAACGACCAUAAAUUUCAAACUUUUCAAAACAUGUCAAUAAACAAAUUAAAACCAUUUCAAAACUUACAUAGUUUCCCUUAAACGAACCCUUGAGGCCCUAAAUACGCGUUAGAAACAAAUCGAGACUAAAUCGUAAACUUAUAGAACUUUUCAGAAAAAGAUAAAAGUUUUCAAACUGCAGGGGUCACACAGCCAAUAGACACACCCGUGUCUCAGGCCUUGUGGACAUUCGAAGUAGGGGCACACGGUCGUGUCCCAACACGAGUCCGUGCCCGUGUCACUCACUGACUUGGGUCACACAACCAAGCCACACGCCCGUGUGCCAGGCCAUGUACCCUUCGAAAUAACCCCGCACACCCAUGUGUCAAGCCGUGUGCUAGGCCAUGUAACAACUUGACUUACAACCCUUCAAAAGCUACAGGGGACACAGUUGUGUGUCACACACGGCUGAGACACAUGCCCCAUGUAUCUGCCCGUGUGGACGAAAAUAGGUUAUUUUACAAGCCAUUUUUCUCACCCAAACUAGCAUGUACCUAUAACCAAAAUGCACAAACCUUAAUAAGACACCAAAAUCAAGCAUAAACAAGUCAUAUACAUAUGGUAUAACAUCAUACAACCAAUAUGCCCUUAGGCACCUCAAUGAUAAUAUAUAAACAUGUUUAACCAUGUAUUCAAUUUGGCCAAAAUGACUAACUAACUUUCAACUAAACCUUCAUCAAUUCAAACCACUGAAUUAACUUACCAUAGCCUAUCAAAUGGUACAAAAUAUGCCAUUCAUUCACUAACAUCAAUAGACAUAUAUAUAUACCUUUCAUAACAAGAUACCAAACCACAACAAGUUACAAGGCUUAUACAAUAUGCAUAUUCAUCUAUCACAAUUCAAACAUAUUAAGCCACACAUCGACCAUAAUAAGAUUAAUAUUUACAUGCCAUAAAACUAAGCUCAUAUCAACAUCAAAAUGCUAAAUCACAAGCCAAGCCAAAUGGUUAUUCCAACAACCAAAACACAUGACCAACAUUAGCCAAAAUACCCAUACAUGUCAUUAUAACCAAAAUUAAAAUCUGUAAGUACCGAAAGAGUCGAUAGAUAGUGUGAUAGAUCUCCGACGACUUUCCAACCCGAAUGAGCUUUCGUUUAACUGCAAAAAAUAUAAAAAAUAACAACAAUGUAAGCAUAUCAUGCUUAGUAAGUUCGUAACACAUACAGUCUAACUUUGCCAAUACAAUAUACAAUCAUAAAGCAUGUACAACCCAAUCCAACAUGAGAAUAACUAACUCAAAAACUUAUAUAUGUACAUUCAUACUUUUAAUUUUCACAAGGUACACAUUACCUACCUUUCAUCAAGCUAGUGUAAUUUACAUUUAAAGUUCUUAUCAAAGCUCACACAAGGUAAUAAUACGAUGGUUGACACAUCUCUUUUUGUAAUUCGAUAACCGAAGUUAUCCCUUUUCAUAGUUUGAUAGUUGAAGCUACCCUUUUUCAUAAUAUAAUGGUCGUCACCAUCCCUUUUCAUUGUUUGAUGGUCAUCACCAUCCCUUUUCCUAAUUUGAUAGCAAAAGUUAUCCCUUUUCACAGAUCGAUAGCCGAAGCCAUCCCUUUUCAUAAUUCGAUGGUCGUCACCAUCCCUUUUCACAAUCGAUAGUUUAUAGUCCUAGAAAGAACAUAUGUUUUCUCCCUAUUUAUUGGUUAAUUUGUACCCUUGUCGUUAUUUUUAGCACAUAUUUUAGCAUUUUUAGUUUAGUAAAUUGCAUUUUAUAACUCAGUGGAUCUCAGCCUAUUUAUCCUUAAUUUUAUCAUGUUUUGGUAUUAAUGUCGUUGUAUGAGUGUUUUCAGGUUGCGCCCAAAAUUAUCGCCGCACUUGACAGCUAUCUGAAUAACAACAAAGAAGUGUGAGUUGUCAAGUCUGGUACAACUAACUUGUACGUACAGAGGCAUCAUGAAUCUAAUGAAAGGACACCUAUGUUAUUUUGAGAAAUAUCAAUAUCUUUACGUGGAAAAAGGGGGGAGAAAGGAUCUUUAUCUUCUUCAACCUAUAUUUUGAAGUUUUUCAGUGAUGGUGGUUUAAACCUCCUAUGGGUGAACCGAAGUGAAAGGGAUGCAAGUUAGCUCUUAACGAGGAGCCCUGAGUGCAACACAAGAGGGAGUUGAGAGAUCAAGUCAAGAUUUUCUAGGAAUGUUACUCUCCACUUGUUUCUUUUAUAUUUCUUUUCUAAACGAUGGUAAUUACUUUCUAUUUCAUGUUUGUACGGAAGUAUACAUGAUUUCAGGAUUAAAUGUUAUUUUAUUCAAUUUUGCUUCUACUAUUUACUCUUUGGGUUUGAAUGUUUUUAGCAUUGAAGUGUUAUUGCGGCUUCUGACACUGAAAAGUGAAGCAACAGUUCAAGCUAACAAGCAUGACAACGGAAGUUGCUUGAGGAUUAGAGGAAUUUAAUCCACUUGUUAUUAACAGUGUUCCAUUACCAUUAUCAGAAGAUGUGGUUAAUGUGCAUGUUUAAGUCUUGAUUAAAUAUAAAAGUUAAGGUUGGUAAGAUAUCCAUUGCAAUUUAAUGCAUCGACAAUUACCUAUCCUUUUUUACCUUGUGAGCACUUAGCAUUCUGUUGAAUAUUCACGUUAGGGAUCCCAAUUUAUCAUUAUCAUAUUUUAUCUUAUUAUUUUCAAGUUAUUGCUUCGAUAACUACACCCACAACUUAUCUCGUUUCUAACUAUUUAUUGCACUGACAUUGAUAGACAAAAGACAACCAUCCUCAUGGGCUCGAUAGCCGACAGACUCAUAUCUGUCUAUUAUACUUGCAUCAACAGUGUACACUUGCACAUUAUUGCUGUGACAUUAAACAGCUGGUCAAGUUUUGGCGCCGUUGCCAGGAUGGCUUUUUUUAAUGUUUAUUUUUGUUUAUUUUUAUUUCAUAAUAUUUAGUUGUUACUAACUCAUUUUCUUAUUGCUGUUAUUUUCACAUUUUAUUUUAGGUGUUGUAUAACUCAAAGCAAUUCAAAGUUUAUUACCGAUUUUGAUCCAGAAAUAAAAAAAAACCAUUCGGAGGAGACUUCGAGAACAAAGGAAUAUGGCUUUGCCAAGAAAAAAUGCAGUCAUACCCCGAUACAAAACCAAUAUGCUAAUGACCCACCGUUCCAGUAAGAUGCUCAAAUACAAAAUAAGCCUAUACGAGAUUUUGUAGUACCUGUCGGAUGACUUACAACCAAGAGUUGUUAGGCCAGCAAUUCAAGUUGGGAAUUUUGAACUCAAGCCAAUAAUGUUCCAAAUGUUAAAUUCUAAUGGGCAAUAUGUUGGACUUCUACAAGAAGAUGCACGAGAAAAUCUAAAACAAGUUUUAUUGAUUUCUGCUUCCUUUAGUCAACAAGGCGUUCCUGAUGACGCUUUGAAGAUGCAGUUAUUUCCUUAUUCCUUGCAGGGAAGAGCUCGUACUUGGUUCUCUAGGUAACCUGCCGGAUCAAUUACCUCUUGGAAUGCACUAGCAGCAUAGUUUGUUUUGCGAUUUAACCCACCGACAAUGAUGCUCAUCUCUGAAAUGAUAUUACAGUUUAUCAUUAGCUAGAUGAUGAAAAUCUUCACACCACAUGGGAACGUUAUAAAUCUUUGCUUCGACAUUGUCCCAUGCAUGGCAUUCAACAGGAAACACAAAUUGAGAUUUUCUAUUAUGGGCUAAAUUCACACACGAGGAAUCUUGUCGACGCAUUAGUCAAUGGUCCUUUGCUGGAUUGUACUUAUAAUGAUAUUAUUGGAAUUCUUGAAUUAAUUGCUCAGAAUGAUUAUCAAUAUCCUACCCUUAGAGCUGCACAAGCAAAAGCUACUCCAGGAGUUAUUGAAUUGGACGUAAUAUAUGCACUUAGUGCUCAAGUUUCUUCUCUUGCAAAAUAAAAAAAUGCAAUGGACUAGUGAUGUUGCACUUAUACAAGUUGCUCAACAAGUUGAUAUUCUGACCUUUUGUUAUGAGAUUUGCAGUUCUGGCCUUUUGUUAUGAGAUUUGCAGUGACUACCACAGCUAUGAAGAUUGUCCACAACAUGCAGAAAAUGUCUUUUAUGUCAGUAACAUCUGCAACAAUUCUUAUGGCACCUCUCAUAAUAAUUCUGCACGCAAUAAACAGUCUUGGGGAACUUAGAAUGCUGGAUAAAAUGUUGCUCUAUUUCGAUAUGGGAAUAUAUCUACUCAGGAUAGUUAUAAUCCAAGGCUAGGGAAUUAUAAUCAACAGCAGCAGAACUACAAUUAGCACCCUCUAAUGCAUCCACAACAAGGCCAGAUGAAUCCACACCAGAAUCAAAUGUCACCACAACCCUCUUCAAUGCAAAAUUCGCAUGGUCAAGAACAUCGACAACAAUAAUACAUACAUGCUUCUAAUUCUAACCCCGUACCAGCUCUUGAAGCUUUAAUGCGAGAACAUAUGACUUGCACAGAAGCUAUUUUGUAAGGGAAUUUAUCUUCUAUUCAGGCGUUAGAGGCACAAUUAGGACAACAUGUUUUGAAUUUGAAUACUCGACCACCGGGCACAUUACCUAGUGACACAAAAAAUGUCAGUCCGAGAGGGAAAAAACAUUGUAAGGCUAUCACUCUUAGAAGUGGUAAACAAAUUGGCGAGCCAACUACAGACUCUAUUGUAGCACCUCAAGAUACUAGUGAAAUGAUCCCUGGUAAGAAGGUUGAAUCUGAAGAGCCUGUCGAUGUACCAGACAAAGAAGUUCCACCAACUGUCACUCAUAUGCCUCAUGUUUGACCCUCGAAACUGUUGACACAAUCAAGGGGUUCGGUGCAAUCAAAUGUAUCUAUACAUUUACCUUUCCUACAAAGAUUCAGAGAGAAUGAGCAUGACAAGCAGUACCAACAGUUCCUGAACACACUGAAGCAACUUGAAGUUAAUAUUCCUUUAGUAGACGCUCUUGUGCAAGAAAAAGAAACUCAGUGAUAUGGAAACUAUUCCACUCACAGAGGGCUCUAGAGCUAUUUUAAAAAAUAAGUUCCCCCUAAAAUGAAAGAUCCUAGGAGCUUUACUAUCCCAUGUUCCAUUGGUAACCAUAUUUAGGUAAGGCCUUAUGCAACUUAGGAGCUAGCAUCAAUUUCAUGUCACUAUUUACUUUCAGAAAGUUGGGAAUUAGUCACAUAAAACCUGCUACAGUAACAUUGCAACUAGCUGAUCGAUCCUUAGUUCAACCUGAAGGGCAAAUUAAAGAUGUCUUUGUUCGCAUAGAUAAAUUCAUUUUUUCAGCUAAUUUUAUCAUACUUGACUGCGAGACGACAAGGAGGUUCCCAUAAUCUUGGGAUGACCAUUUUUAGCUACUGGACAAACUCAUAUUGAUGUUUACAAAGGUGAAUUGACCAUGCGACUUAAUGAUGUGCACGUUACCUUCAGUGUUUUCAAAUUUAUACCAUGCAAGGAAAAAGAAGAAUGUCAUAUUAUCAAUGUGCUAGAUGAUCUAAUUACGGAAGAAUUCAAUGACCAAAUCACAAUACUUUCUAAAGAGUUUGCAGUGACAUCAGAUGAUGAAUUCUUAGAUGAUUGUGACAGCAUGGUUGAAGCUAAUAAUAUUGAACUCAUGCAUGGAUGGCAGAUCGAAUCUUUAAAUCUAGCCAACAGAACAGCUCCAAUUUUGAAGCAAUCUAUCGACAAAGCUCCUACUCUGAAUUUGAAACCAAUGCCUACUCAUCUUAAAUACGUCUUUUUUGGUGAUAACAAUACUCUUCCAAUUAUUGUCUUCGCAACACUGGAUGUAACUUAAAAAGAGAAAUCGCUUCAUAUUCUUAAGCAACAUAAAUGAGUAAUUGCUUAGAGUAUUGUCGAUAUACGAGGCAUUAGUCCAUGUUUUUGCAUGCACAAGAUCAAGUUUGAAACUAAAGGCAAGUAAUCGAUUGAUCAACAAAGAAGGUUAAAUAAGAAGAUGAAGGAAGUUGUUAAGAAAAAAAUUAUAAAAUGGCUUAAUGCUGGAAUUAUUUACCCUAUUUCUGAUUGCAAUUGGGUAAGUCCAGUGCAAUGCGUUCCUAAGAAGAGUGGCAUCACUAUGGUUAGCAAUGAAAAAGAUGAAUUAAUUUCUACACGUAUUCCUACGGGAUGACAAACCUAUAUGGAUUAUCGCAAACUUAAUGCUACCACAAGGAAGGACCACUUCCCACUUCCUUUCAUAGACCAAAUAUUGGAUAAGCUUGCUAGAAAAGCCUAUUACUAUUUCUUAGACGGCUAUUCUGGAUAUAAUCAAAUCGCGAUUGCACUGAAGGAUCAAGAGAAAACAACUUUCACUUGUCCUUUUAGUACUUUUUCUUUUCGCUGAAUGCCUUUUGGUUUUUGCAACGCAACAGCCACAUUGCAAAUGUGCGUGAUGCAAAUAUUCUCGGAUAUGAUUGAAGAUUCUUUAAAGGUUUUUAUGAAUGAUUUCUCAGUCUAUGGGAAUGAUUUAUAUCAUUGCACUGACAAUUUGGAUAACGUAUUGCAGCGAUGUGAAGACACACGUCUUGUUUUAAAUUGGGAAAAUGUCAUUUCAUGGCAACUGAAGGCAUUGUGUUAAGCCAUUGUAUUCCUCAUCAAGGCAUUGAAGUAGACAAAACUAAAUUGGAAAUCAUUGAGAAAUCACCUCCACUAACAAAUGUGAAAGGUAUUCACAGUUUUUUUGGGCAAGCAAGGUUUUACCGAAGAUUCAUUAGAGAUUUCUCAAAAAUUGCAACACCUUUAUGCUUAUUUCUGGAACAGAAUCGGAAAUUCUUCUUUGACGAUGCAUGUUUGGAUGCAUUCAUACAAUUGAAGACACAGUUAGUAAAUACACCCAUUGCCGUUGCACCCGAUUGCUCUCAACCUUCUGAAAUUAGGUGCGAUACAAGAGACUUUGUUGUGGGUGUUGUUCUAGGACAACGUAAGGAAAAAAUAUUUCACACCAUCUAUUAUGCUAACAAAAAUCUUACAGAGGCUCAAAUAAAUUAUACCACUACAGAGAAAGAAUUGUUGGUUGUAGUCUUUUCUUUCAAUAAGUUUUGUUCUUAUCUUUUCGGCGCAAAGGUUACCGUAUUUAUUGAUCACUUUACUUUGAGAUAGCUUUUUUACGAAGAAUGAUGCAAAACCAAGAUUAAUAUGUUGGAUCUUACUGUUGCAAGAAUUUGACAUCGAGAUAAAAGACCACAAGGGUUCAGAAAAUCAAGUUGCAGACCAUCUGUCUUGAUUGGAAGUUGGCAGCGAAGAUGGAAACAUAGUUCAAAUUGUCGACGUAUUCCCAGAUGAGAAGUUAUUUACUACAUAUACAACCCCAUUUGGUUAAUUAUCUAGUGUGUGGAAAACUCCCAUUGGGUGUCACAGGCCAUAAAAAAGAAAUAUUUCUUCGUAAAGUAGUGAAAUAUCAUUGGAACGAGCCGUAUUUUUCAAGGUAUGCAAUGACAACAUUAUACGGUGUUGUGUUCCAGAAAAGGAGAUGCUUUCAAUCAUGAAACACUGUCAUGAUGCUCUUUAUGAAGGUCAUUUCGAUGGCAUGCAAACUGUUGCUAAGGUUUUCCAAUUAUGAUUCUACUGGCCUUUAUUAUUAAAAGACGCCUACAAUUUUGUGAAUUAAUGCGAUAGAUGUCAGCGCACGGGUUCUAUAUCCCGACGCAAUGAAAUGUUACAGCAGCUAAUUAUAGAGGUUGAAUUGUUUGAUGUUUGGGGUAUGGGUUUUAUGGGACCAUUUCCAAUUUCAUUUAGAAAUCUUUAUAUAUUAGUAGUUGUUGACUACGUCUCGAAGUGGGUUGUAGCUGUUGCAGUAAAAAAGGAUGAUACAAAGACAGUGCUUAAAUUUUUUCACAAGCAUACUCACCCGCUUUGGCACACCAAAAGCAUUGAUUAGUGAUCAGGGUACACACUUUCAUUCCAACCAAGUGGCAGUCACACUGAAAAGAUAUGGAGUCAAUCAUAAAAUGGCUACUACUUCUCAUCCACAAACUAAUGGGCAAGCUGAAGUGUCAAAUUGACAAAUUAAAACCAUACCUGAGAAGGUUGUGAACUCUUCGAGGAAAGAUUGGUCUUCCAGACUGGAUAAAGCUUUAUGGGCAUUGCAAACAGCAUACAAAACUCCAUUAUGGAUGUCGUCAUAUCAAUUGAUUUUUUGGAAAGCAUGUAACUUGCCAGUUGAACUGGAACACAAAGCAAUAUGGGCAAUUAAGCAAGUGAACAUGGACUAUGAAGCUGCUGGAAAGAAAAGGUUAUUGGAUAUCCCUGAACUAAAAGAGAUUAGGUGAAAUGCCUAUGAAAACGCUGCAAUUUACUAUUAAAAGACCAAACGAUGGCAUGAUAGAAUUAUUUUGCCGCGACAAGUUAUCGCGGGCCAACAAGUUUUAUUAUUUAAUUAUAGACUGAAACUACAUCCGGGUAAAUUGCGCUCACGUUGGUCUGGACCUUUUGAAAUUGUUGAAGUAUUUCUUCAUGGUGCGGUCACAAUCAGAGAUUUAUAUGAUGGAUUCCAAUUCAAAGUGAAUGGUCAAUGAUUGAAACAUUAUCUUGGAAAUAUUAAUCAAAAGAAGGCAGAAACCAUUAAAUUGGUCAAAAAAAUUUAACUUUAAUUUGAAUUUAUCAUUAUAUUUUAUUAUUUUAUUAUUUUUGUUCAAGUCUGUUUUAUAUUUUUAUUUUAUUUUUGUCGAAUAAUUAGGUACCAUUGUCGACGCACUUAGGCUUUAUUGUCAACACAGUUCGUACUAUUGUACUUUCACUUCUGACUCAGCAAAAAUGAUGGCAGACUAGAAAUUUUAGAUCCCAUCGUCUGAUCGAAACUCACCUAGCCGUCUGAUCUGUCUGAGCAAGUGCAAUUCUUAUUGGAGGUAUUUAUUCCCGCCAUAUUUAUUUCCCUUCAGAAAAUCACAUCUUUCCAUCUUCUUCUUUCACUCACUAUUAUCCCCUCUUCCCUGUGCCGACUGUGAAACACCCAAGUAGCAAUUUUUAUUCACUUUUCCUUUCUCAAGUUAGUACCUUUACACCUUUAAAUCAUCUUCACUCCAUAAACCAAGAAAAUUAUGGCAAGAACGAAAGGAUCAGUCAAGAAAGCCACUAAGCCUGUUGAAGAACACGCAUCCUCAGCAACUGCGGUUUGUGAGUUGGAAUCCUCCAUGCCAACGAAGAAAAAAGAGUCAGUGAUCUUUUUAAUGAAAGCGGCCAGAGACCGAUUUCAAAACAACAUCUUAAAGUGAAACUUCCACCCAAAAUAGGGCAUUCUCCUUUUCCAACAGCAAGACUUAGGCAAACAAGUUUCCAGAACCAUCUCUAAGUUGAAGUGGGAAAAUUUCUACACGCAUCCUAGAAGUUAUUCUCCUUCAUUGGUCCUUGAGUUUUACGCUAACCUUUAUGAUCAUGAGUUGGGGUUUAUCUUUGGUCGAGAAGGUUUAAUCCUAUGGGACGCUACAAAAAUCAAUGAGUUGUGCAACAUUAAGAUGGAUGUUGAUGAACACACCAAAUUUAUUGAGGAUACCAUAGACAACAAAAGGGACUUGUUGGUGAAAGAUUUAUGUGUCGAAUAAGCAUUGUGGACGGGUUCACAUCAAAGGAAUUCUACGAUACACCAUCGUUUCCUGACAUUACAAAGAAAAAUCUAGUUUCAUUUUGUUAACUGCAAGCUACUACUAUCCACUCACAGCACCAUAUUAAACCUGGAUAAAAUGUGUCUAAUACAUUCAAUUGUUAAAGGUGGAAAGAUUAAUCUCGGUGCAAUACUCUACUAGGAAAUUGUUGAUUGCGCCGCAAGGAAAAAUGGAAUUUUGGUUUUCCCAUCGUUGGCGAUGCUACUGUGCCAGCAAAAAGGGAUCGUGCCCAAUGAUGAUGAAGAGAUCUUGGAAAAUAACGGCCCGAUAAAUGAAGCAUCUAUUGAAAGAAUGACACGUGGCAAAGAUACACCAACAAUGAAUGAGGCAGAGACCGAGGGAACGAACCUGACUAUAGAAACAUCGUUGUUGGGCAAGAUGAAGGAUAUUGAGAAGUUGGCCAAUUCCAUCAACAAUAAACAGAUCAAGCUUGUCUCUAAAAUAGAGGAUAUGGGCAGAUCACAAAAUUUGUUCUACGUUUAUACCAAGGCAGAGACCAAGGGAACGAACCUGACUACAGAAAUAUUGUUGUUGCGCAAAAUGAAGGAUAUCAAGAAGUUGGUCAAUUCCAUCAACAAUAAGAUGAUCAGGCUUGUCGCUACAAUAGAGGAUAUGGAUAGAUCACAAAAUUUUUUGUACACUUAUACCAAGGCCUAUAACAACUCUAUUGUAGCCACAUUACGUUAGUUAAACCCGACCCCACUCCCAAAAUUCUCAAUGUUCCCACCGAUUAUCCGAGAGUAUGAACCCCCUUCCUAGGAAGAUGACUUAAGGGACAGACAGAUCGGUGGAAUCCCCUCCUAUUGUGCACAUCUCUGAUGUUGAGAAAGAAGAAGACUUAAGGGAUCUUGAGGAGUACAUACGAUAGGUUGAUAGCCUGGUUGAGGGUGACUUCAUUACUGGUAAAGAAGCACCUGUUGUUAAGGAGGAAGUUGUUGUGGAAGAGGAAGACGUCCUAGUUAAAGUUGUGAACGAGAAGGCUGAGGAAGAAAAUACCGAGACAAAAGCUGCUGAGAAAGAAUUUGUUGAGGACAUUGUCAAUGCAUCCGAGUUUGUGGAUGCAACUACUGAUAAUCUAAGCGAGAUGGAGCUAGACUGCGGAAGCUGCAAAGGUAACCAAUGAGGAGUACCACAACCCAUUGGCGAUAGUGGUCUAUACCGGACCACUCAAAGUGACCUCUCCUGCAUAAAAAGCAGCCAAUGAUGUUGGGGCAGAGCCGAAACCUGAGGAACGAUCCAAGGCCCGGGUAAAGCCCAACUAAAAGAAGAGAAAGUGCUCUAAAGACAAAAAGUACAAGGAGAAGAAAAAACAUCGUGCAGCCACAUUGAUGGCCGAGGAAAAUUGAGUUAGUUUAUUUUAAGUUUUAUCUGUAGUAUUCAUGCAUUACAUGUAGUUGAAAUUUUCAUUUUGUUAAUAAACAUUGUCAUUGCAUUUUUAUUGUCAUCGCAUAUUAAUCUUAAUGCAUUGGGGACAAUGCAAACUUUAAGUUUGGGGGAAUGCAUAUGGGGUUUGGAAAUACACUCACAUUUCAAUUUUUUUCCAUUAAUGAAACAUGCAAGGUUUAUUUGUCGUUAAUUCAAAUGUGUUGAAAUUUUUUGUUACAUUUGAUGCUUAAUUCUUGAAUCAUGUGAACUAUCAAUAAAUGAGUUGGAUAAAUUUGACUGAAUGUUGUAUCUUCAAUUCUUUGAUGAAUGAUUUAGGUUGCAUUAGUAAUGGAUGACAAGUAGCAUUCCUUGAAUCUUGAAUGAAUCUACCUUUUAUAGCUAAUCAUAUGUAUAUAUAGUUAUGAAUAAGAGACACUCCAAAGUGGGUGUAUGGUGAAAUGUUAAAAAAGGAAUACUCUAACGCAAGCAUAAGAAAAAUGAAUCUGGCCAAAGGCUGUCGCUACAUGAGCGUGUGUCGCCACAAUUACGUAUUCCCUGGGGGUUUGUUGCACUCCAUCGUUACUUCUCAGGAACAAGGGUACAGUAAUUCAACGAUGUCCCUUAUUCACAAAAAAAAAAGGAAAGAGACAUAUAUUGUACGAUAAAUGUUGUAUUGGUAGAUAGAAUUUAAGAUUUAAAGCAUGAUAUUGGUUUUAAUGAAGUUGCAAUCUUAUUCAUUCAUACUUAUGUAAUGUCGAUUCAAUAUUCUGUCAUCUGAAUGUUACUCAUUCAUUGGGAUUUUAGGUGAUUCAAGUUGCUAGAACGAUCAUUUGCCUUAGUGAAUUCUUGUGUAGUCUUGCUAGUUUCUGUUUUACUUGAAGACAAGUAAAAACUCAAGUUUGGGGUGUGAUAGUACUAGAAAAAACAUAUGUUUUCUCCCUACUUAUUGGUUAAUUUGUACCCAUUUAGUUAUCUUUAGCACAUAUUUUAGCAUUUUUAGUUCAGUAAAUUAUAUUUUAUAACUGAGUGGAUCUCAGCCUAUUUAUCCUUAAUUUUGUCAUGUUUUGGUACUGAUGUCGCUACAUGAGUGUUUUCAAAUUGCGCCCAGAAUUAUCGCUACAUCUGACAACUGUCUGGAUAACAACAAAGAAGUGUGAGCUGUCUAGUCUGGUACAACUAACUUGUACAUACAGGGUAGCAUGAGUCUGAUGAAAGGACACAUGUGCUAUUUAGAUAAAUAUCUAUAUAUUUACGUGAAAAAAAGGGGAAGAGAGGACCUUUAUCUUCUUCAACCUAUCUUUUGAAGCUUUUCGGCAAUGGCAGCUUAAACCUCUUACGGGUGAACCAACGUGAAAGGGAUGCAGGUUUGCUCUUGACGAGGAGCCCUAAGUGCGACACAAGAGGGAGUUGAGACAUCAAGUCAAAAUUUUCUAGAAAAGUACUCUCCACUUGUUUCUUUUAUUUUUUUUCUAAAAAAUGGUAAUUACUUUCUAUUUCAUGUUUUUACGGAAGUAUACAUCAUUUAUGGGUUAAAUGUUAUUUUAUUCAAUCUUGUUUCUACUGUUUACUCUUUGAGUUUGAAUGUUUUUAGUAUGGAAGUGUUAUUGCGAUCACUGACACUGGAAAGUGUAGAAACAGUUCAAGCUAACAAGCAUGACAACGAAAGUUGCUUGAGGAUUAGAGGAAUUUAAUCCACUUGUUCUUAAUAGUGUUCCAUUGCCAUCAUCGGAAGGUGUGGUUAAUGUGCAUCUUUAAGUCUUAGAUUAAAUAUAGAGGUUAAUCUUGGUAAGAUAUUCAUUGCAAUUUAAUGCAUCGACAAUUACCUAUCCUUUUUUACCUUGUGAGCACUUAGCAUUCUGUUGAAUAUUCACGCUGAGGAUCCGAGUUUAUCAUUAUCAUAUUUUAUCUUAUUAUUUUCAAGUUAUUGCUUCGACAACUACACCAACAAUUUAUCUCGUUUCUACCUAUUUAUUUCACUAACAUUGAUAGAAAAAAGACAGCCAUCCUCAUGGGAUCGAUAUCCGACAGACUCAUAUCUGUCUACUAUACUUGCAUCGAAAGUGUACACUUGCACAUUAUUAUUGUGACAUUAAACAGCCGAUCAAUAGCUAAAGUUAUCCCAAUUGUAUUCGAUAGCUGAAGCUAUCCCUUUUCAUUUGUCGAUGAUCCACAUUACACCAUUGGAUUUUUUCGUCAACACUCAAUUUAAUAUUAUACAAUAAUAGCAUUCAAUUCCUAAAAUAAAAAUGAAACUUAAACGUACGAACUUACCUCGACGAUAAACGUAGAAAAUGAAGUCGACUAAUUCGAAACUGUUUCUUUACCUCGAUCUAGAGCCGUACAUGGUUUAUCUUGAUCUAAAUGAAUAAAUUCAGCUUAAUUCAAUAAUCAUUCUAUUCAAUUUAACCCAAAUUCUCAUUUUAUCAAAAUUACAUUUUUUCCCGUAAUGUUUUGCUUUCUUUACAAUUUAGUCUUUAGGCUCAAAAAAAUAAAAUUCAUGCAAUUUCACCCCUACCCAAGCCUAGCUAGAUUUCACUCAAGCUCAUAGCAGCCUACAAAUUUCAUUAUUUCAAUAAUUACACCCUAAUUAACAAAUUCAUCAAAAAUCACUUAACAAAAGUUAUUUAUCUAUCAACAACUAAUCAUUUUCUUUCAUAAAAAAUCAAAAACAACAUGAUAUCAUUCAUGGAAAAACCCUAAUAUUUUAAAUUUUUUUAUAAAUUAGUCUCUGAACUAGCUAGAUUAAGCUACAACGACUCCACAAACAUAAAAAUCACUAAAAACGGAAUCAAAAAUAAUUUACAUGCAAGGGAGAAAGAUGGUCAAAUGUUUCAAGCUAUUCCUAUGGUGUUUUUAGGUUACAAAAUUGGUGGGGGUGAGAAUAGGAAGAUGAUAUUUUGCUUUUGUUCAUUUUAAUUUACUUUAUUUAUUAAAUUACACUUUUAACCUUAGUUAUUUAUCAUUAAAUGCACUUAAUCAUGCACAUAAAUGUCCACUCACAAUUAAAACGGCUUAAUUACCACAUAAGGACUCUUAUACAUUAAUUCUAUAGCUGUUUAAUACAUUUAGCCUAUAGAACUCAAGUUUUGCAUCUUUUGCGAUUUAGUCAUUUUUAUCAAAUUAAACAUGCAAACGAUAAAAUUUCUUAACAAAAUUUUUCUACGACACUACUAACAUGCUGUAAGCCUUAAAAUAUUAAUAAAAUAAAUAUUUUAAUGUCAGAUUUGUGGUCCCAAAACCACUGUUUUGAUUUCACUAAAAACGGGCUAUUACAACUCUCCCCCUAAGAAAUUUUCGUUCCUGAAAAUCUUACCAGAAAAUAGAUUAGGAUUUUGCUUUCUCAUAGAUUCCUCAGGUUUCCAAGUGGAUUCUUCUAUCCCGUGUCGUGGUCAAAGAACCUUUACUAAAGCUAUGUUUUUGUUUCUUAAUUCUUUAACCUCUCGUGCCAAAAUUCUGAUCGGUUACUCGCUGUACGACAUAUCAGGUUGAAUUUCAAUAUUCGCUGGUGAUAUAACAUGUGAAGGGUCUGAUUGAUAUUAUCGUAACAUGGAUACAUGAAACACAUUAUGAAUCUUUUUCAACUCUGUCGGUGAAGUUAUCUGAUACGCCGCGGGCCCUAUUCCUUCAAUGAUCUCAUACGGCCCAAUAAAACACAAACUAAGCUUCCCUUUGCAACCAAAACAAAGAAUUCUUUUCUAAGGCAAUACUUUCAAAAAUACUUUGUCGCCAACUUGAAAUUCAAUAUCUUUACGUUUCAAAUCUGCAUAUGAUUUCUGUCGAUCUAAAGCUCCUUUUAAACUGUCACGGAUUACUUUCAUUUUUUCUUCGGUCUUUCGAAUUAAAUUUACCCCGCGAAUCUUUUUCUCACAAAUCGCGGUCCAAUACAAAGGAGUUCGGCAUUUACGACCAUACAAGGCUUCACACAAUACCAUAUUUAUACUUGACUCAUAACUGUUAUUGUACACGAACUUAACCAACGAAAAAUAUUUUUCCCAAUUGCCUUCGAACUCUAAUACACAACAACGAAGCAUAUAUUUGAGUAUCUAAAUUACUCUCUCAGACUAACCAUCUAUUUGGGGAUGAAAUGUAGUACUAAAAUGUAACCGCGCACCAAGAGCUUCCUGUAACUUGGUCCAAAAUCGCGAUGUAAACAGUGGAUCUCUAUUUGAAAUAAUAGAAACUGGCACCCCGUGCAAUCUAACAACUUCAGCAAUGUAUAACUCAGCUAAUCUCUCAAGGGAGUAAUCUAUACGUACCGGAAUAAAAUGUACAGACUUCGUCAAACGAUCAACGAUAACCCAUUUCCACUCCGGUAUCAUUACUGGCUGCAGUAAUCCCGAAGGUAUCUGAUGUUCCGCUUUUACUUGCUAACAUACUAAAUAUCUAGAUACAAAACCAGAUAUCUCGCGUUUCAUUCUCGGCCAGCAGUACAUUUUUUUCAAAUCACUGUACAUCUUAUUACUUCCCAGAUGAAUAGACAAACUACCAUUAUGAGCUUCGUGUAAAAUUCUCUGAAUGAGUUAUGGAUUCUUCGGUACACAAAUUCUACCUGUGAACAACAAACAAUCAUCGUGUCAUAUCUGAAAUUCUAAAUCGGAAGACGACUUACUCUAUGCUCAUUUAGUUAGCAACUUGUCAUCACACUUUUGAGCUUCACAGAUCUACUGUAAAAACAUCUAUCUACCUUUCAACUCAACUAAGAUCGAGCCAUCAUCAGAAAAUGUCAGUCACAUAUUCAUCGCUCGCAGAGCAAACAAGGACUUUCUACUCAAAGUAUCAGCAACUAUGUUUGCUUUCCCCGGAUGAUAAUCAAAGAUCAACUCAUAAUCUUUUAACAGUUCGAGCCAUAUGCUCUAUCUCAGAUUCAAAUCUUCCUGUGAUAUUAGAUACUUCAAACUCUUAUGAUAGGUAAAUAUAUGGCAUUUUUCGCCAAACAAAUGGUAUCACCAAAUUUUCAACACAACCACAAUAGCUGCCAAUUCUAGGUCAUGUGUCAGAUAAUUCUUUUCGUGAGGCUUUAACUGUCUAGAAGCAUAAGCUAUUACUUUGUCUUCCAACAUCAAACACAACCUAAACCAUUUAAAGAUGCAUCGCUGAAAAUCAAAAAUUCUUUGCCUGAUUCAGGCUUAACCAGAACUGGUGCCUCGGUCAGCAGUGCUUUCAACUGAUUGAAACUUUGCUAACACUUCUCAGACCACUCAAACUUUACAUCUUUCUGUAAUAUCCGCGUCAUCAAUGUAGCUAUCAUUGAAAAACCUUUUUAUGAAUCUUCUAUAAUAACCAACUAAUCCCAGGAAACAUCUAACUUCAGAUACGUUUCUCGAUCGUUUUUAGUCAACAAUUACCGACACUUUACUUGGAUCAACUCUGAUGCCUUCAACCGAUACUAUAUAUCCCAGAAAACCAACUUCUCGAAGCCAAAACUCACAUUUUCUAAAUUUAGAAAAAAAAUUGUUUAUCUUGCAAGGUUUGCAACACAAUUCUGAAGUGCUCGGCAUGCUCAAACUUGUCUCGUGAAUAUAUCAAAAUGUUGUCAAUAAACACCACAAGAAAUCUGUCUAAAUACAGUCUGAAAAUUCUAUGCAUCAAGUCUAUAAAUACUGCAAGUUCAUUAGUUAAACCAAACGGCAUCACAUGAAAUUCAUAGUGUUCGUACCUGGUUCUGAAUAUGUAACUAAGUCGUCUUAGACGCAUCCAUAAACCCUCGCAGUUUAAUUGUAGGAUUUAGAUUUAGUUUUCUUUUAUUUCUUAAAUGUUUUGUUCGUUUCUCUUAGAACGAAUUUCGAUCCAAGAUUUAUUUUAUUUAAUCGAAGCUAUUCCGUUUAUUUUCCUUUGCAAGCAAUGAGAUUCGUUAUUCCGCUCUUAAUCGAUACAAAUCAAGAUUAUUCUAUAUUUAUUUUCUCUUUCGAUUUAUUUAUGUUAUUCACAUGUUUAUAUCAAUUGAGUUUGAGAUUAUAAAUACCAUGAGUAGCUAAUUCCCUUAGGGGAGAUUAACAAUUGCAUGGGGGAGUAAUUAACGGAAGAUUAAUGGUUUCUUACAGAAUUAGCUGGUAUGAAUUACGCGUUCUUAAGAUGUAAUCAAAGGUUAAAUGAGGUUGAGAGAUAAGUUUGUUAAGUAAAUUGUAAUUUAUCCUGAUUGAAAAAGUGAUGUUAGGAGAUAAGCAAUUAUCAAUCAAUUAAUUAAUCAAUUAGAGGUCGGGAGGUAAUAAUGGGAUAUUUAAUAACUAAUUCACCCUAAAACCUGAAUUCGAAGUUAAUUACAACCCCUGAAAUGAGUUAAUAUUCUUAAUUGGUUUAAUUGGUUUAGUUGUUUGUUUAUUUUAUUGUUUAUUUAUUUUAGUUAUUUAGGUUUGAAUAUUUGUCUCUUUUAUGAUUUAUCGUAAUAUAGAAUUUAAUUAUUACUAUUUAAACCUAUUAUUAUAAAAAAAGUUUUGAAUAGGUUUAAUUCAUCCUCCCUUGGGUACAAUCCUCGGAAUAUUUUCAUGUGCUUCGUUGUAACACAAUACUAUAUUACAAUUUGACAUGUACACUUGCGGAUACCGUUGCUUUAUUUCUUAUAUUUUGGUGUAGUAUUUUCCAUUCAAAGUUCACACAUUUGGUGAUAGUCACUUGGAAGUGAAAGAUUUUGUGAUUGGCUAUACCAAGCCUAGCAUACAUACAGCUUCCACCAGUGCGAUCUCAUAGAGGCAACACUAGAAUACCGAUCUAAUAGCAAAUGAUUUCUUAGUGGAUUUCCCUGCUAAUUCUAUUUUCAUUAAUUGCCUUCAUGGAUCCUUAUGCAUCUCUUCCCUCGAUAAGGAAAUCCUUGCGGACUUGUAAAAAAUAAUCCAUAACUAGUUUUCAUAACACGCCCUGCACCAAUGACUCCAGAUAUUCACAUAAGAUAUUUUUGGCGAAUAGUCCUUAUUGCAAAUUGUUAAUAAUGGUUCAUCUGACCAAACUCAGGCCUGUACUAUGACCCUUCUAGUUCCCUAAGGAAACACCAUUACAACUUGAUAUAGAAAACCUACUCAUCCCAAUCAAGUAGACAAAUCGAACGAUACAUCUUUUCCCUCAUCUAUUCCACGAUCAAAUAGUCCACUCAUGGUGGUUAUCUCUUUGAAAUAGAUAACUUGUAGGUGGAUUCUUAACAGCGAAUCCCCUAUUUACGGAAUCAUACAUAUGAGGCAGUUAUGGCGGACUAUCAUAUUGUUCAUAUACGGUCUCGCGUAAACAUAUAGCUUACACAUAGUAAUGGAUUUGAAGAAAACGAACUCAUACUUGGCGGACUUACAAAAUCAUAAGUGAAUUUCCCAAACAGACCUGCAAACUUUUACUAAAGUGAAUUCUAUAACUACUGUAGAUGCAAAACUGUAAGGAUAAGCCGAUGGACCAUCAUAACUUGUAUCCGGCUCACUUUAUUUGCAACACACAGGCACAAGCUUUUACUAAAGUGAAUUUUAUAACUACUGUAGAUGCAAAACUGUAAGGAUAAGCUGAUGGACCAUCAUAACUUGUAUCCGGCUCACUUUAUUUGCAACAUACAGGCACAAGGGCCUUUUCAUAAUAAUAGAUAACCUUUCAGCAGUCUCGGACAUAGCAUGGAAUCAUAAUUACAAAAUAGUUCUACCAAACUCUCCUUACAACAAUAGUCAUGGCGGACUUUCCCCAUAUGAGAUAGUCCUCACAGGCUUCCACAAAAAUAGUCCUGGCGGACUUCCACAUUUAAGAUCGACCUAACGGAGUUCCACAUUUAAGAUCGUGCUGACGAACUUCCACAUAAGAUCAUCCUGGCAGACUUCCACAUUUACAGUAAUUCCAUGACCAUGGACUUCCAUUUGUCCCACGAAGGGCUCUCACACGUCCCACAUAGAGGUGUGCAAAAUUCGGGUAAAACCGAAAAAAAUUCAAUUAACCGACCAAAUUUGGUUAAUCAAUCGGUUAACCGAAUUUUUUCGGUCGGGGUCGGUUAAUUAUAUUUUAAUUUUUUGGUUAACGGUUAAUUCGGUUCGAAACUGGUCGAUUAAUCAAAGUUUUUCGAUUUAACCAAAAAAAAUAAUAAAUAAAAUUAUAAUAUAUAAAUAGGCCCACUAUUCACCUAAACCCAAUCCAAACCCAAUUACCCAACCCAACCCAAUCAUAAAAAUUACAAAUAAUUUAAUAAAUAAAAAUAAAAUUCUAAAACAAAAACUAAAACUAAAGUCUAAAAGUCUAAACAAAUAAUUUAAUAAAUAAAAAUAAAAUUCAAAGACUUAUGUAAUGUUUUUAAUUAUGUAGUGAUUAAAUUCGGGUAAUUCGGUUAAUUUAAUUAAUUAGGGUAAUUCGGUUAAUUCGGUUAAUUCGAUUAAUUUUUAACCAAAAAUAAAAAACAUAUAAUUUUCGGUUAAUUCGGUUAAUCGACUGAAUUAACCGAAAAAAUUUCGGUUCAGUUAAUUUUUUGGAAAAAAUUUUGGUUCGAUUAACGGUUAAAAAUUUUGAAUGGUCAGUUAAUUCGGUUAACAUUAUUUCGAGUCAGUUAAUCGGCUGAACACACCUAGUCCCACAUAAAAGGCUCUCAAACGUCCUAUUAAGGGCUCUUAUACAUCCCACACAAACGGCUCUCAUAUACGAGUGUGCACCGAGUCUCUGUAUCAUUUAAUCUCCUUUACUAACUUAGUCCAACCGAACCUUCCUUAAAGCCACAUAAAUAUAAUGCACAUGCAAUCCCAUGUAUGACCAUCUAAACCUCCUCAAAGCCACAUACAUGUCAUGCAUACAUAUUCAAACAUUCAACCAACAUGUAUUGUCUAACAUGCGACAUAUAGUACGCCAAUCAUACCGUUUAUGUAUCAUAACCAUAUUUACUCACAGCCAUACAAAUGUAUCUCAUUAAUAGCAUACAUCACGCCAGUCCACUCCUUUAUUCAAUCAUUAUCAGACUCAUCCAAACGGUAUUUGCGUUCAAUACCACAUGCACACAUAAGACAUUAACAUUUCGCCACAAGUUGAUUUACCAUUGUUAAAACGCUAAUUCAUCAUAUUCAGUAUAUUAAUGACACGGGAUACAUCCAUUUAAGAUCUGAGUCCGAGAGCUCGCUUGAAAGUUGACGCCAAAUCCAUCCACUAUGCUUCUCCCUUGCUAUACGAGCCUCCAGCUUACAAAUAUAACCACCAUUUCAGAAUUCCAGUGAAGAUAAUUUAUCAUCAUAUGGAGCAUACUUUGCUUGCAUGCAAAGGCUAUUUAAAUAACUAAUAGCACAGGUUCGAUGGAUAACUAAAAUCCUUAACCUUCUUUCCUUUUCUUAAAUCCGUUAACAAAGAAAGGUUAAAAAGCUUACGAAACAUCCAAUUUUUAAACCUCAAACCUCCAUUUCAUCCUCCAUGCACCAACGCUCCCUAAGCCUUUUCUCUUCUAUGGAAAAUAAGAGGAAAGAUGAGGAAGGAACAAAAAAAUGAAAUAGCAACCUUGGAGAUUAACACCUUUCUAAUAUAUAUAGUCCUCUCACACAUCCUUCAUCAAUACCAAAUCAACGGCCACUUGGAUUAAUAUUAACCAUCAUGUCUCCCACUUAGAACUAUACAGUUCUUAAGUAACCGAACUAAAGUUGAAAUUCAUUUUUUUCUCAACCAGCUCGGCAAAAUACUUAUUUACAGAAAGGACCUGCCAUAAUAGAAAACUUUUCAAUUUAAUUUGUAACUCUCCCGAAUCAUUUAAAACUUAAAAAAUUCGGGUAUAACAUAAAUAAUUGAAUACAAAGUUUAAAUUAAAUUAUAUACUCAUUGUAGUUUAACUCUGUUCGAAUAAUUAAAUAAGUUUAUAUAUAAUUUCUAAUACAGUAAAAUUGUCAUGAUUUUAACAGAAUUAGGUUAUGCAAAUUAGUUAGCUUAUUAAUUAUUUUUGAAUGGAUAUUUAAUUAUUUUAUUGAUUAAAUAUUUGAGUUUGGUUUUUUAUUUAAAUUAAGAGAGUUAAGCUUGAAAAGUUGGACCAAAAACGGACUAGCCCAAUGAACCCAGAUCAACCAUAAAUGUUAUGGCUUAGGGACCUCUGUCCUUUGGUGUGCUAUAGUUCGGUGCCUUCUAGGGGUCCUACUCAAACAUAAACUCUUCUAAUUUAAUUAAUUAAUAAUGUAACGCCCCUAACCCGUAUCUGACGCCGGAACAGGGUUACGGAGCAUUACCGAACGAACAGAACAGUAAACCAUUCAAUUCAUACAUCAAUGUAAACAUAAACUACUUUCAUUGAAAUACAUUCAUAAUGUCCCUUAAUCGAGCCCUCCAAGCCCUAACAAAAUACUAUAGAAACAAUCCGGGACUAAAUCGGAAACAUUUGGAAAGUUUAAGAAAAAGUUAAAAAAAUUUAGACUGCAGAGGUCACACACCAGUGUCUCUGGCCGUGUGACUUUUGAAAUAGGGACACGCGGCCAUGUCCCUACCUAUGUAACCCUCUGACUUGGGUCACACGGCAAAGCCACACGCCCGUGUGCCAAGCUGUGUAACCAUCGAAAUGGCCUCACACGCCCGUGUGACAGGCCGUGUGCUAGGCUGUGUAACUUUCAAAAAGAAACAAUUAAACCUACAGGGGACACACGGCAAUAUCGCAUGGUCGUGUGUCACACAUAGCUGAGUCACAAGCCUGUCUCUCAGGCCGUGUAGACACAAAUUUGCCCAAAUUCAAGCCAUUCUCAAUACCAAAUCAUGCAAUCACUUAAAGACCUCUUGUACAUAUCAUCAAUGCAUUAAAACCUGACCAAAACCUACAUAAAAUGACCAAUUCAAAAGUCUAAGAUCGUUCAACUAAUAUGCCAUACAAGGCACCUCAAUUUCAAACAUUCAAACAUACCUACUCAAUGUGACAUUAAUCAAGACAAAAACAUACCAAAUCAACCUAUUAAGUGUCUGACCAAUAUACCUUCAAAGGUACCACAAGUAUAUACAAUUGUACAUCAAAAUUAAAGCUCAAACACAACUUAUCAAUUCAUCAAAUCCACACUUAACAAAUGUACCUAUCAUUGAUACUUCAAAUACACAUAUCAAUAACACAUACUAUUUUUAUUUGCAUUAUAACAUCUACUUUAUUCACAUAUGUCUUAUAGUUAACAAUAUGAACGUAAGUCAUACUUAACAUUACACACAUCCAAACCACUUAUAAAAACAUACACUCCUAAUACAUGUAAACCGAAAAGAACAUUCCAAAAACUACCGAAAUUAAGCUGGAUAAUGUGACUUGAGUGCCGAUCCGAUCGUCCAACCUUCCGAGUAUCUACAAAAACAAAUAUUAACACAAGUAAGCUUUAAGAAGCUUAGUAAGUUUGACGUACUAAAAUGAUAAAUCUUACCGAAGUAAAUUAAACAAUUCAAACAACAAUAAUUCAACCACGAAGAUUUCCUAUCAUCCAAAAUCUCAACCGAUAAAUAACAUACGUUCAAUUUAAUACUCAAAUGAAUUCCAAAUUCAUCAAAUUCAUUAAACAAAUUACCUUACCGAGACUUCAAUUUGAAGAAUAACUUAUGGAUAAUCCCUCUAAAACACACCAGGUACUCACACAAGUCAAACCAACUGAAACACACAAAUGCUCAAAAGAGCUAAUCCCUCCAAAACACACCAAACAGAGAGUAUAACACGAAAGUUCGCAACAAAUGUUAAACCUCGGUUUACUCAGGUAAUAUAAAAAUACAUCACUCCAAAUCCAUCUCUACUCCAAACCCCCAUAACACACCAAAUCACGACUGUACUAUAUCUCGUGUUCAAUCCAAAUACAGCAUCAAAUUUCAAAAGUAUAUAUUAAAUAAUCAUUCAUUAUGAAUAAUUAAUAUAUAUAUAUAUAUAUGUUGUACCAUGUUAUUCUACUCAAAAAUUUGUAAAUAUAUUAAAUUCUAAACCGUACGAACUUUCCUGGACUUAAUUGUAGUAGUUGUAGAAGUUUAGGGACUAUUCCGUUAUUUUUCCUUUUCUACGAGUAUCUAUGGAAUCUUGAUCUAAAAUGUAAAAUUUCUCAAUUAUCAGCUUAAAUUUCACAUUUCAAUCCAUUUUACAAUUAAUACCCUAUUAUUUUUUGAAUUUACACAAUUAGCCCAAACCUUUACAAUUUUUGUAAUUUAAUCACUUAACCCGAAAUUCAUCAAAUUAACCAUUUUUAUCCAAUAAAUAUUCUAUCUAAAUAUACUAGUCCCUUAAACAGUUCUUAAUGAAUAUUAAAUUCACUAUCAAUCCCUAAAAUUUUGACAUUUUCACAAUUUAAUCCUAAAAUCAAAAUCUAACAAAAAUCACUUUACAAAAUCAUCAAACAAUACAAUCAAAAUUCCAAAUACAUGGUAUUUAUCAAAAAAAUUCAAUAUUCAUCAAUGGAAACUUCCAAAAUUUUUAACAGAAUAAAAAAUGAAGAUACGGGCUAGCAGGACCUAAUUGCAAGGAUCUCAAAAACAUAAAAAUUACAAGAAACGAAGAAGAAAAUCACUCACAUGCAAAACAAUUUGCUUGGCCGAUUCUCCUAGCUUGAGAAACUAUGAAUUUCGGCUAUGGAAAGUAAAAAAUGAAGAAGAAACCUAUUUCUUUUACUUAAUUUUGUUUUAAUUUCAUUUAAAUUACAAGUUUGCCAUUAUAACCACCUUAUUUUAUCAUUUUUCCUUUGUUUAACCGUCCAACUAAAUUAGUUAGGACUAAUUUACCAUUUAAGUCCUUCUUCAAUUAACUUCCAAACUAUGUAAUCAACUAAAUACAAUAAUUACCAAGUUUUGCACCUUUUACAAAUUAGUCCUUUUUCUUUAUUUAACUAUCCAAACGUUAAUAUUUCUGAACCAAAUUCUAAUGGGACUCUAAUGACUCUACAAAUAAUCUAAAAAUAAUAUUUACGAGUCGAUACGACGGAAAUUUGUGGUCCCGAACUACUGUUCCGUCACCACUAAAAAUCGGGCUGUUACAAAGAACUUUGAAUAAGAAUUUACCUCUUGCAUUUUUUUUCUUUAUAAAUUCCUUAUGCUACUCAAAAUUUACAUAAUGGAAAAUGUGAGGGAAAACUCUAUAGAAAUUUAGUGAAAUUGUAUUUGAGCAAAUUUUCUUAUACUCAAAUAAAUUCUAUUUUUUCUUGAAUUAGGGUUCUAAAUUAAGAACAAUUAUAAUUGUAAUGAUUCAACCAUUAUAUUCUAAUCUAGAAAUUGAAAUUUUGGUUUCAGGUUUACGUACAGGUUUGUGCAAGGCUUUGUCAAGGGAUUUUCGAUCUUUGUCCUAUGUUCGAUUAUUUAAAUUAGAGUCCACUCAUUAAACAAUUGUGAAUACGAAAAAAAACGGAGAAAGGCGGCUUGAAAAUCUCAUACUUCGGUUCAAAUUUAUCACAAUGUCCAAGCACUUUCCCAAAGACUCUUCGCAAUUUGGACAAUUUCCCAAAGCUCGAUACACAAGUACUAAUUUAUUUCUAUAAAUGUCAGGACAAAAAUAAGUGUGUCAAAUUUGACAUGGUAAGGCAUGAGUUGCUAACGUCCGUCUCACUAGGGCAUCACAUUAGCCAAUCAUUGGUUAAUCCAUAGAUCUAGGCCUUUAGCACUCAACCCGAAGUUCACUUAUAAAUACUAAAGCUCGACUUAACCUCGUGUAUGACUUCUUCAUCCGUACUUGUAUUCUACCAUUAUCAUCUUCUACCUUAUUUUCUCUUUGCUAUUCAAACACCGACUUAAAUGUUAAUUUUUUCUUGGUGUAUUUGCACAUCACUCCUCAACCCAACUUGCCACAAAAAAGGAUUGGUUCAAUCCAUUUUCUCAACUUUUGGAUUGUUGACAGAUUUUGAUUUUCAAUUGUCAGUUCGGUUCAUCAAUUUAAAGAAAAAUGAUUUAAAAUUCAAAUUUAUUAAUGGCAUAGAAGCUCGUGCAAUGAUAUUUUAUAAGCAUCAAUUGUACGAUUGGGGGAGAAAAACAUGCCAAGUUUUCAUUGAUUAAAAUUUAAAAGUGGGAUAUCUAGAAACAAAACUCUGAUUAUAUUAUAUAAAUAGAGUUGAAAGAGGUGGUCUUUAACCAAACACCAAUACACAUCCAGGUUCUAUCAUAUGCCUUACUUGUGAAACGAAUAUUAUUGAAGAAAUUAAGAUUAUAAACAAAACCAAAGGCUGUCUGGUCUGGAACCCAAUAGUAACAUAACAAAACUCAACAUUUAAGGAAGUUUCGAUGUCCAUUCAUCUUAAGUAACUCGGCAUGUUCACCUUUUUCAAAGGACAACUUUUUUUUUACUGAUUUUUCUUUUUUUUACUUUCACAAGUUCAUAAUUUUCAAAACCCAGAUACUGAAUCUGAUACCCUUUAUAUUUCUCAUCACCACCAAAGUCAUCCAACUUUUGCUUCCUUUUCUCUCCCUUUCAUCAUGAAGAACAGCUAUGAAUGUAUUGGUUUGUCAAAAAAAGAAAAGAGAGAGAAAUGAUUUGCACUUUGUAAGCUGUGCUUUUUGGUUUAGAUUCUGGUUUAUGGGGAUAGGGAAAAAGAAGGGAAUUUGAUCCUGGAAUCUUGAUCUAUGGCAUCAGUUUGAAAAAUAUGACAAAAGUGAUCCCUUUUUAACAUGAGGCAUUAUUAAUUAAGAAUCAUAACCUAAACUUGCCGUCUAAAUUCUUCAAUUUUAACACAUUAAGCCUAGCUUUGUUUUGCACAUGAUACACGGCAAUUGAUAUAAUAUUAUACGCUACCUGGUUUUAAAAUAAUAUGAUAAUUCUUUCCCACUUUCCUAAGUGAAUUUAUUAAGCUUUCGGCCAAGUAUAAAACUGCUGUGUUUGCUCAGCUAUCUUAAACAAGCAUCUCUUGCCAUUCCAUCACCAAAAAAACCCUAGUAAAAACACUUGUCCAUUUCGUAUCAUAUCAAUGGAAAAGAAUCAAAGCAGUUGCCCCAAAGUUGUGUUUGAGAAGAUCUUUAGGUCAAUCACUUUGGGUCCUGCUUUCACUACAAUUCGUCGCAUCUCCAACCGCCAACAAACACCAUCUUCAACAGCUCGAAAUUCACCACAGCCACCCAAACCUUCGAGUAAACAAGGAUCGGAAGUUCCCAUCAAGUUCGACUAUGCCACCGCCCCACCAACCGAGAAACCAAAACCAGUUGCUUCAGUUGGUAAUGCUCAUCAGCUGGGAGGAAGUAAGUUGAAGCCUAGUGUAGCAAAGGGUAAUGGGAAAAGCCAAGUCCAAAACCACGAUGAUAUAUUUGCUAAAUUUAUCCAUGAAACAAGGCGGAAGAUCACGUCACCGGAGCCGGACAACGGUGAGAUUUCCCAGAAAGUGGGUGGACAUGGUAGUGGUCGAAAGGAUCAUCACUUCUCGGAUUACAUAAAGCAGACUAAAAGGAAGAUCAAGAGCACCUUGAGCAGCAAGGAUAGAAGUGAGUCUUUCUUCAAGUGAUUCAAAUUUGACAUGAACAAGGUGGAGAUUCUAUCCUAUAUAUGUACCAACUAAAAAGGUAUGAUAAAUAAACAUUGAUUAUAUUGUUUUGUGUGUGCCUUAAUUCAGUUGAUUCAUGUGUGUAACAAUGGUCUCUUUCUAUGAUUCUAUCUCAUUGUUAUUGUUGUAUGUAUGUUUCUCACUCAGUAUAUACAUCCCCAUCACCUUGUCUAUUCUACUUAUCAUUGGUUUAAUAAUUAUACUCAUGCUUUCUUCUUUUAGCUUUGAUUAUGAUUUUGUACUGGGAUGGAAAACAUAAGGGACCAAAUGAAGAUAAAUUCCUCGUAUUAUGCAUUUUUAGCAGAUUUAAUCCUUCUACUAUAAUCUCAUCGUUUUUAAUCCAUCAAUUUUCCAAAAUGUGAAUUCCAUUCUG